UCUUUAAUGGGUAAAUUGCAUUGUUACCUCCUGAACUUUUGGCAAAGUUUCACUUUACCCCUCGAACUCCUAAAAUGGACAUUUAACCCCCUAAACUCUAAUAUUUCAUUCAUUUUACCCAUUUCGUCAGUUUUCCGUCAAGCUCCGUUAACCGGAAACUGACGAAAGGGGUAAAACGAAUGAAAUAUUAGAGUUUAGGGUGUUAGAUGUCUAUUUUAGGAGUUUGGGGGGUUAAGUGAAACUCGCCAAAAGUUUAGGAAGUAGUAGUGCAAUUUACUCCGUAGGGACUCUUGACUAUAAAUUAUUUUAUUAUAAUAUGUUACUUAUGGAUUGACUACUAAUCCUCAAGUUAGUGAUCGUGCUUGAUUUUGAAUUUAUAUAUAUUUUUUAUCCUAAAAUAAAUCAUACCAUAAUUUAUCCUACAUUUUAUUGUAAUAAAAUAAAAGUGAAAGAAAUGAAUUAGAGUGGCUUAAAGAUAAAAAAAGAGCGAUACUAACUACCUACGAUAUUCAAACACUCUACUAUCCCAACGUACUCGCUAAUAUGGUUGAUUUACAAUAGGUGUCCUCACUCGGAUAUAGAAAUUUUAAUUCUCAGUUAAUUUUCUGUAGUACUCGUUUGUCCCUUUUAUCUUUAGAAGUAUUGUUCUAUAAAAUACACUUAAAUAAAAUUUUUUUACUUCAUUUCAGCCAAUUAGAAAUUUUUAAUAUAAAAAUAUAAAAAUAAUUUAUAGUAAAAAUUUGGGUAAAUUGUAUUGUUACUCCCUGAACUUUUGGCGAGUUUCACUUAACCCCCAAACUCCUAAAAUAGACAUCUAACACCCUAAACUCUAAUAUUUCAUUCGUUUACCCCUUCCGUCAGUUUUCGGUUAACGGAGCUUGACGGAAAACUGACGGAAGGGGUAACAUGAACGAAAUAUUAGAGUUUAGGAGAGUUUAAGAGGUUAGAUGUCCAUUUUAGAAGUUUGAGGGAUAAAAUAAAACUUCGCCAAAAGUUCAGGAGGUAACAAUGCAAUUUACCCUAUCUUUAAUCAUCUUUCAUGGUAUUAAUCAUCGAUUUAGGUGCUCGAUCAUCAACAAUAAAGUGAAAGUAUAUAUAAGGCCAAAUGAUUCUACCUUAACUAUUAUCUAUUGUUAUUUUGUUACCAAAGAUCAAGUGAAUCCAAACAAUAUAUUAAUCAACAAAGACAUAUACUAUACUCUUUGUACCCUUUUGCAGAAUCAACUAGUUGAUAGCAAAGUAAAUAAAAGUUAAUUAAAAAGAAUAAGAAGAAGAAGAAGCACAACUAACCACAGAUCCAACCAGGAGAUUGAAGAGGGGGCUGCUCCAAAAUAAUCUCAAAUUUAACUAGAGAAAAUACUACAACCAAAUUAAGAAGCUCUUGCAGUAGAUGUUUUGGGGAUUGAGGAGUGAGAGAUGAGAAUGCACUAAAUAAACAAAUAACUGGGAGCAAGUGAUUUGGACACUGCAGCUGCUACCAAGAAACUUACUUUCCGCCUGACUUUUCCCAUCUGCAAUUAAUGGCCAGUGGGCCAUGAUGAAUUAUGCAUGGGAUAAAUGUUAGGAUUGCCAUAUAUUGUGGCCCAAUUAAUUAUAUUUAAAUUAGAAUUUGCUAUAGAUAAAGGUCAAUUCUAACAGAUAUAGAAUUACUUGAUAUGGUAUAUUUUUAUCUCUAUCUCAUCUAUUUUAAAUUUAAAUAGAAUUCUAAUCAUACUAUAAUGGGAAGUCGAUCUGGACUCUAUAUAAAGGGGUAUUGGUCCUGCCACCUUCUCAUACGCAUUCUGGUGAAGAAUUACUAUCGGUUUCACACCAUACGAUAGAGUGCCUGAGAUAGGAGGAGAAACCAAAUCACCCAAUUUCGAUUCGUGACUUCCAGUUCAUAGCUGGACUUCACGCUUCCACAGAUUGAUCAGGAAUUUCUUCUCGACGGCGCUCUGUGAGUUAUCUUAUUUUAUUUUGAUCCUGGAUUUGGUAUGUAUUUAAUUUCUGUCUUAUUUUACAUACCUAUAAAAUCUAUCAAUUGGUAUCAGAGACAAGAUUGCUAAAUUAAAUAUUGUAUGUAUUAUGUAAUUGGAUCAAAUUAUGAUUAAUUUUGAGUUUUCAUAAUAAAAGGUUUUACGGUUCUUGAUCCAAAUUAAGAUCACAUAAUAGUAUAAUUAUUUGUGUACGUAAGGAUUUACGUAGUGAUUUAUUUUUUGAAAUUUUAUAAAUUNAGGGGCAAUUGCCUAUAUACCCCUGAAAAGUUUCCGGUUUUCUUAUUUAUCCCUCUUAGAAGGCUAAUAUUGAAAAUACCCUUCUUAUAUUCCAAGUUUUUCUAAAGUGCCCCUGGAGUUAAGUUCCGUUAGUGAGCUGCCGUUAUCUCUGAAAAAUUACCAUUUUGCACAUUCCAAUAUACCCUUGUACCGUAACAAAUUUUUCUUAUAUACCCUUCAUAUAGCAAAUACUUUUCUUAUUUGCCCUUCAGCCGGAUCUGGAGCAGAGGGCGUGCAGGGGUCCGAUGGCGCUGCGGCCCUCUUGCUUCCGGCACCAGCCAAGGCAGCGGAGGAGGAGAAGGACGACGAGAUCGGUGAGAGAUGGGAUUGUCGCUGCGGCNGGUCCUGCUAAACAACAAAAUGACCUUAUCCUUAGUAGUUUAGUACUCCCUAUUAUCACCCAGACAGUUCAUGUCUUUGGCUUACGAGAAAUUAAAGAAGUUUAAGUUACUUGGCUCCAAGUUUCGAGGGUGAUUAACGUGGUAAGAGUUAUUUGGCACGAGAAAAUCAAAGACGUUAGAAAUAUCCUUCACUACCUGUCAUUUUAAAUAUGGGAAACCUGGAAAGACUUAUUGGUUAUUUUAUAGGACUAUACCAAGCUCCCAGGUUAAAGAAAUAAACACCUAGUAUAUUAAACUGGAGUCGAAUUGUUGGGGUACAUACUUUUAGAGAAUUUGACCCAAAGGAUGGACAGGUUUCGAGUUUUCCUUAGAAUCACUGUCGGAAUCAUCCCUGGGCUAAUUCUUAUAUGUCCCGACAAAACUCAAGGAGUGAGGUGUUACUAUAGCUUUCCCAUCUUAAUGACUAAUAUGAGGACUCGUAUAGUUAAUUACACGCCAAGGAAGAAAGUCGUUGUGAUAAGACUAGUCCACUAGGACCAUACCACAUGACACCUUGUUAAGGCAUGACGAGUUCUUUGAAUCGUUUUCCGGAUCCCUAAACCGGAAAUAGACAAACAGAUAGUUUUAUAAGUGGUGGGGACAGACUCGACUGAUGAAAAUAGGAAAAGAGCUCAACUAAGAGAUGAAGUCGGAAUAUACGGAAUUUCCGUAGAUUUCGAAGUCUAAAAAGAAAUUCGUUCAUCUCUAUCGGUAUAGCUCUCAUCAGUAGUCAUUUACACUAUUUUAUAAAUACCGGUUAUUAACUAUCUCCUUCUCCAGGCGUAUAUAGCCAUACUUAGUUGAGAUUACCAGGUAGUGUAGAAAAUCGUGGAAGUCUUCUCUAAAACCAGACGAAAGGGAAAUACGUCAGGUGUGUGUAAGGUUUCAGUCUCUUCCGGUUUAGUAGAUUUUACGGAAGAGAUUAAUAAGAAACCUAAGAGACAAAGCUCUACACAGGAUUGGAGAAUACGGUAUUGUACCUACUGGAAAGUAAUAAUUACGGUGCAAAACUAGGUUGUAAAAGCACGUACCAUUCUUCCUAAAGUGAUAUACUUUGUAGAUUUUUAUGAAAUAUAUCUAACAAAAAGUUUUGUGGUCUCGGUUGAUAGACUCUAAAUACCCUAUUUCUUUUUGAAAUAAUAAUUUUGAUUUUGAUAUAGGGUUAGAUUGUUCAAAGCUUUAUCUUUAAGUUAAAAAUCUUUUUAAACCUUGUAUUUUACAUAGUUGAUUUAGGUUUUACACUGGUCACCUUUCUUGAUUAGAUUUACAAGGAUGUUUAAGAUGAAAUCAACCUAAAGGAAGUCGACAUAUUUAUCAGCGAAGUGGAAAUGACCCAAAAUACGCUAAGACUUUAGGGAUGUGCCUUAAGCGGUGCACCGUAUACCGUGGUCUCAGUUAAGUGGUUCAUAAUCUGUAUUGUCUUUGAUUUACGUUGAGUAUGUAGUUUUGGUUUUUGAAUGGGAAGAAGACCUCGGUAAAGACUAUGAAAACCAUCAAGAAGAAGUAUACUGGGAAAAGAAAUGUUUUCUUCAUUAACCCUCAGGUUAAUGAACUAACCGGAACACUUGGUCUACCUUGAAAGAACAAAAAAAAGAAAAACUCAGUAAGAACGGGAAAGGUAAGAAUCAUGCGAAAUAAACAGAGAAGACUCUUUGUUUCAAUUGACGUAAAGCAAAGAGAACGUUAUUAUACGGAAAAAGAAUAUGUGUGUACCAAAUGUUAAGUAAUUAACUGAUCUCUAGACUUUAUUAAGCAUAAGUCUACCGUUUUUCAAGUUUUAUUUCACGUGAUUCUUACUUAGUCUCUACCCAUGUGGUUCACAUCACUCGACGCGACGUUAUAGAGCGUAAAGGUAUUAUAGGAGCACUUAGCUUGGUAAAGGUCUCAUGAAAUACCUUCUGUCAAAUAAGUAAUCCCACGAGCGGUUCUGAAAUGACCUCGAAUGUUUGACAACGAGGUGUUGUGAAUCCUUUAGCGCCCGACAGAGUGUGAGACCUUAACUUAAGGCUUAUAAAAUGGCUGUGCGCGAAAGUAAUCAUAAUUUGAUUCGACUAAUCUCGCGAGGGUGAAAAGAUUUUCACAACAAACUCAACCGUAUGGAAAUAGACAUGCUCCUCGUCCCAAUAGGAGAGAGUUUCGGUUUUGUUCUAGGUAUGUGGGAUUACAUUCGUACUGGACAAGAAAGGUGAGGCUUAUUAAUCUUGGUAAUUCGUAUCCUUGUCUUAGUGGUUAUCCUUGUUUCCUACUUCAGUAUUGACUUUAUUUUACGUACAAAAUAGUUAUUUUAUGGUGUAGUUUUUAAUGGUAUGGUUUUAAUCUUUUUAUAUGAAAUAUACUGUAGUGUCGGGGAAUAAACCCUCGUCUCAAUACUCGUAUUCAUAAAAAGCAAGGAAUACGUAUAUGAAAUAUACUGUAGUGUUGGGGAGGAAACCCUCGUCUCAAUACUCGUAUUUAUACGUUAGUAAGGAAUAAGUAUAUGAAAUAUACUGUAGUGUUAGGGAGGAAACUCUCGUCUCAAUACUCGUAUUUAUACGUUAGAGAAAUAGUUUUUAAUUAAAUUUGAAAGACGUCCAGCACUAUUAAAGUUUAAAAGAUAUACUUCUUUAACAGUCGAAACCGGUCUGUUUAAAGAGGUUUGCUCAAUAUUCUUCUAAUGGUAGGACGUGGUGGGUAUAUGGAAGUACAGAUCUGGAGGAAACCCUCGUCUGAUUUAUAUUAUAAUACCACGUUAAGACGUACGUGUAGAAAUUUCGUUAAUUAAAUAGAAAAGAAGGCCAGCCCCGGCGAAACCGAACGUAGGCUUGUCAACUUCGUUAUUUAAUUAGACUGAAUCAAGUCGUACUAAUUGUACUUUUAAUAGGCUUUCGUGAUGAAAUUUCAUUUAAUUUAAUAAUAAAGAAAAUUAAUCCUGGCGAAACCGAACGUGGAUUGAUUAGCUUUAUUAUUUAAUUAAGUUGAAUCGCGGUUUAUAAUUUAUUAGCUUUUGUUAAUACUAAUAAAUUAAAAGUACAAGUAGGCCAGUUUUAUUCUUAUAUCUACGCUAUUAAAUUUUACAUUAUAGCGUUAGUUUAAAUUUGAAAUAUAUAAGAUUAAACUGGUGUUUAUAUUCUAUUUAUUUAAAUACUAUUUAAUUUAUAACAUACAUUUUAAUUUAGGAAUACACUUGCCUAAGAGAUACAAGUGCUAUGAAAUUGUUUGUACUCCUAGUUUAAAACUACAUAUGUUUAAGAUUACUUAUUUUCUCCAAUAUAUUGGUGUCUCAGUUUGCCUAGGAAUUAAUUAAUUAAACGUUUUCCUCGGAACGUUAAUUAAUUAUUACGAACUCCAGGGUACGCCUUGGUUUCUUUUAAAACUUAAUCAGCCUGAGCUGGUAGAGGUUUUAUUAAGUGGUGUAGAGCCAAGUCUUUGUUCUUGGCCUGAGAUUCAAAUUACGUUGUAAUUUUAUUUCGUAUAUUUUAAUCUCGGUUAGAUAUUAACCGAUUAUAAUCAAAUUUUCUUCGGUUGAUUAAUUAUUUAUUUAGAACUGGUGAUAUGUAAAUGCUUCGGCGCGCCAGUUGUAUACAUUAUAAUUGGCUUAAAGGUUUCCCAAUUCCAAGUACAGUGUCGGCGUCAGCUCGUACGGAGUACACUAGUUCUUCCGAUAAGUUUGAAUUAAUCGGGUGUUUAAUUCUAGCGCAUUACACAUUAUUAAAUAUUUUAAAGUUUUUUAUUUAGUGAUGCAUUUAGGAAUGCAUGUGUUUAUUAAUAUGAUAAUACACUAGAAUUAAACCUAGUUCUUGGCAUUUUGGAAAAUAAUACUUUUGAGUUUUAAUUAGUAUUAAACUAGGUUAAUGUAUUAUGUAUGUUAUAAAUUAAAUCGUUAGAACAGAGACUAUGGUUAACUAUCUAAAAUAUCCAUACAUUUUAUUCUGUCUUUAAUUUAUGUAUGGUUUAGGUCCUAGUUUUAUUUUAUUCUAUUGAGUGUCUCGCGGCAGCUCUUCUUUAAGGACUAGUUAGACACCUUCGCACUUCAGGUCGAUACUUGACCUUCAGUGCUUAGCUUUAACCCACUAAACCAAAGAGGAGGAUAGAGUCCGUGAGAUAGCAUACCACACUUUGGCUAUCAUUAAGAAGUGGUCUUACGCAUACUCUUCCACCGUCCUGGUUAUGGGGAAAUAUAUCUCAGGUCUAGCUGAAGGGUAAUAUCAUACUAAUCUUAAGAUAAAUUUAAAUUUUAUCUACUCUAUCUCUAUUUUUAUAUGGUAUAGUUCAUUAAGAUAUAGACAAUCUUAACUGGAAAUAGAUAUCGUUUAAGAUUAAAUUUAUAUUAAUUAACCCGGUGUUAUAUACCGUUAGGAUUGUAAAUAGGGUACGUAUUAAGUAGUACCGGGUGACCGGUAAUUAACGUCUACCCUUUUCAGUCCGCCUUUCAUUCAAAGAACCAUCGUCGACGUCACAGGUUUAGUGAACGAGGGUCAAUAAACAAAUAAAUCACGUAAGAGUAGAGAGUGAGGAGUUAGGGGUUUUGUAGAUGACGUUCUCGAAGAAUUAAACCAACAUCAUAAAAGAGAUCAAUUUAAACUCUAAUAAAACCUCAAUCACAAAAUUAUUGUGAACCUAUCAUUGAUAAUUCACAUCAAGAUGUACAAGUUGAUAAUUUACAUCAAGAUGUACAAGUGAAUAAUCCACAUCAAGAUGUACAUGUGGAUAAUCAGAUAGAUUUAAGAAGAUCCUCAAGACAGAGAAAACCGGCUAUAUCCAGUGAUUUUAUUGUCUAUCUUUAUGAGAAUGACCAGAGUUUAAAUGAUCCUCUUAAUUUUUCCGAAGCCAUAAAUAGUAAUAAUUCUAUGGAAUGAUACAAUGCCAUGAAGGAUGAGAUUGAAUCCAUGAACCACAAUAAGGUAUGGGAUCUUGUUGAGUUACCUAUAAGAAUUAAACCCAUAGGAUGCAAGUGGGUUUAUAAAAUCAAAUGGAACUCCAAAGGUAACAUAGAGAGAUAUAAGGCCCGUCUUGUGGCAAAAUGAUUUACUCAGAAAGAAGUCAUUGACUAUAAAGAGACUUUCUCUCCAGUAUCUAGAAAGAAAUCUUUCCGUAUUAUUAUGGCUCUGGUUGCUCAUUUUGAUCUAGAGCUACAUCAGAUGGAUGUCAAAACUGUCUUUUUAAAUGAGGAUCUCUAUGAAGAGGUGUAUAUGAAUCAACCUGAAAGAUUCUGGCAAAAAGAAAAGGAGCACUUGGUAUGCAAAUUAAAGAAAUCAAUAUAUGGAUUAAAGCAGGCCUCCCGACAAUGGUAUUUAAAAUUUAAACAAACUAUUUUGACCUUUGGUUUUAAGAAAUAUAUUAUUGAUCAAUGUAUUUAUCUAAAGGUUAGUGGGGGUAAAAUAAUUUUCUUAGUCCUUUACGUUGAUUAUAUUUUGUUUGCCAGUAAUAAUCUUGGGCUAUUGCAUAAUAUUAAAGAAUUUUUUUUCCAAAAUUUUGAAAUGAAAGAUUUAGGCGAGGCCUCAUAUGUUCUUGGUAUUAAAAUCAAAGGGGAUAGACAUAAAGGGUUACUCGGUCAAUCUCAAAAGGCCUACAUAAAGAAAGUUUUGGAAAAUUUUGAAAUGCAUAAUUGUAAGCCCAGUGUUGCUCCUGUCCAGAAAGGAAAUAAGCUUAAUGAUUUUCAGUGUCCCAAGAACUAAUUGAACAGAUGAAAAGCAUACCCUAUGCCUCUCAGUUGGUAGUCUUAUGUAUGCACAAACGUGCACACGUCCGGAUAUUACUUUUGCCGUUGGAUUACUUGGCAAGUAUUAAAGUAAUCCAAGCAUUGAGCAUUUGGAAGGCUGCUAAAAAGGUAUUUGAAAGGAACUUUGGAUCAUAUUGCAUGUUACGAAACCACAUUACAGGCUAUUUGGCUUAGGAAUUUUAUCACAGACUUAAGAAUUGUGGACUGCGGUGUUUAUCCAAUAAAGAUUUUCUGUGAUAGUUCAGCUGCUGUUUCUUUUGCCAAUAACAACAAGAUUAUAGUAGGGUGUAAAUAUUUGGACACCAAAUAUCUUGUUGUGAGAGAGAAGAUAGAUGAAGGUUAUGUUACAAUUGAAUACAUCAGUACCAAAUGUAUGAUUGCAAACCCAAUGACCAAGAGGCCGGCACAUGGGUCAUAUACAGAUCGUGUUUGAAGUAUGGGUUUGAUUAGUUCUUUUGAUGUAUAAAUUUGUAACAUCUAUUUUUUUUCAAUAAAGUUUAAUGCAGCUGUGUUGGACCAUUUAAUGGACAUAAAGUUUUGUCUAUUAACAAAUGAACAUACAGUUUAAGUUCAUUCAUAAAGUUGUGCCAUAUAAAGUACUCGGCUAAGAGGUGAAGAUGAUACGGUAAUUAUAGAAGGAAAAUUUCGUUAUGAAGAGGUGGAUCGCCAUAGUUUCUAUCAUUAUAGUCUUUUAGUUUGAGCUAAAGAUCAAGUGAGUUCUAAAGUAUUUAAUCAUAAAGUUUUCAAUAAUGCGCAAUAAAGAUUGGAGUAUAGAAAAUCCGUUCAUGGAAUAUAAUUAAUAUGAGCCAAGUGGGAGAUUGUUAGGAUUUCCAUAUAUUGUGCCCAAUUAAUCAUAUUUAAAUUAGGAUUUGCUAUAGAUAAAGGUCAAUCCUAACAUAUAUAGAACUACUUGAUAUGGUAUAUUUUUAUCCCUAUCGCAUCUAUUUUAAAUUUAAAUAGAAUCCUAAUCAGACUUUGAUGGGAAGUCGAUCUGGACUCUAUAUAAAGGUGUAUUGAUCCUGCCACCUUCUCAUACGCAUUCUGGUGAAGAAUUACCAUCGAUUCCACACCAUACGGUAGAGUGCCUGAGAUAGGAGGAGAAACCAAAUCACCCAAGUUCGGUUCGUGACUUCCAAAUCAUAGCCGGACUUCACACUUCCACAGAUUGAUCAGGAAUUUCUUCUCGACGGCGCUCUGUGAGUUAUCUUAUUUUAUUUUGAUUCUGGAUUUUGGUAUGUAUUUAAUUUCUGCCUUAUUUUACAUACCUAUAAAAUCUAUCAAUAAAAACGUCCCAGCCUGCACAUCGAGCACAGAUCGAACGAGAGUAAUUAUAUGCUAUCACUACAUAUAAAUAAAACUUUUAUAUCUUAUUCAUCGCACGAUUAUUAUUUUCUCACGAGCUAACAUUAUUAAUUUUUUAUUUAAUAUUAAAAAAUAUCAGAUGGAUGGAUGGAUGGAUGUAAGAUUUAAAUAUCUUUUUGGUAUAGAAAACAGCCUAUUAUUAUUAUUACUUUUUAUAAAGUCAUGUAUCGCAGGUGAAGCGCGUGAUCGCGGCAAGCAUAUAUUAUUUUGAGCAGAUGUGGUUGUAAUCUUAGGAGAGUUGAUAUUGUAUAAGCAUGAAAUUAGAAUUUAAAAUGCUCUAAUGCUUUUUCAUAUUUAUUCUUGUAAGAUGUGCAGGCUGGCGUAUGCUACUGCUUCAUGUGGGCGAGGAAAACCUUGCAUGUUCAAUGGGUCUGUUGCACGCACCUAAGAGAGUCUUUUAGGGUAGGUCUUGGGGUGUGACACACUAUUUGAAUUUAAGUUGCACCGUAUGAGAAAUUGCACUUUAGUCUCAAAUAGUUUUAAAUUGCAUAACUUAAAUCUCAAACAGUGAAACUUAAAUUCAAAUAGUGCAAUUUUUAUUUAUAUAGUGCAAUUUAGUCUCAAAUUAUUUUAAAUACUAUAAUUUAAUCUGAAGCAGUGCAAUUUCGUUUCUUCUUCUAUUUUCUUUAUGUUUUGGCUUUUUUGGUAUCAAUUACGACACAUGAUGGCCUUUUUAGGAAAAGAAAAAUAUUUUUUUUUUAUUUUUUCUUCUUUUUCUUUCAUAUACUGUAAAUUUUUUGCUAUUGCACCUCCUUUCUUGCCCUCUGCAGUAGCCGCCGCCACGACAAAACAAUUAUUGUAUAGUGGUGACUAAAGUUGCCACCAAAUGUAUAAAAUAUCGCUGGUGGCAGAUCCAGCCGCCGUCACGACAAAACAAUUAUUGUAUACUCGUGACUAAAGUUGCCACCAAAUGUAUAAAAUAUCGCCAGGGGCAGAUCUAGAAAUUUUUUCUCAUACGAUUAAUAUAUAAGGAAGAAAAAAAAUAAAAAAACUAAAAAAAUGAAUUAGUCAUUAAAAUUAUAUAAAUAAAGUAUCAUUUCUUUUACAAUUAAUUGUCCUCGAUGCGACUUCAUAUUCCGAAAAAAAUGCAUAAUAGCCUCAUUGGAAACACUGUUAAGCAUAUUUUUUUUCUAUAUAAGCCAUCAAAGAAUCAUUCAUCAAUUGAUCACACAUAAAGUUACUUAAUUUAUUCUCUAUAAAGUUCAUCAUAGAAAAAACUAGCAAUUGGUAGAACUAAUGACAACUUCAAAAGUAAAUAAACUCGUGAAUACACUACAUGCUUUUUCGUCUCAACCAACUUUUGUGAAAUAUCACCAAUUCCUCUCAAGUUAUAAAAUCUUUUAUCUUGACGUACAUCUACAAUGAAGUUUCCAAGCUGGUGUUCAAGGAAGCAAGAGUUUUUUUUUUUUAAUUAAAAUCUUUUUUUAACUUUUUAAAACUGCUAAGGAAAAAAAAUAGCCGGUCACCGGACCCGCUAUAACUCUUUGUCUAAUAAGACUUUUUAUUGGACCCCACUUGGGAUCAAUUUGGACCCCAAAGUGAGGUCAACUAUGCUAAUUGGGCUCUUGCUACUGACAAAAAAGUGAAUCUGCCAUCGAAUAUCGCUACUUAAUGACUACAGCGGUGACGAAAAUUAUCGCCACAUGUUGUUUUAUCUUUGCCAUUAAUACUAUCUUUUCUUCUAGUGAGCCCCCGACCCGCCCCGACGUGCUCUUCUUGCCUGUUGUUUUUAAAUCUUGUGGCAGCUAGCAUUGUCGCUGUCAUUGUCAACGUGUAUGGCCAUGCUUUCUGCUGCAAUCUCACCUCCUCAUUUUGUGUCAUUAAUUUUCGAUCUGGAGUCAACGGACGUUGGCAAGGUAAGAGAGAGAAGCGCGCAUCAAUGUGUGAGCAGCGAAAUAGAGGUACAAUAGAGAGGAGAAAUAGAGGUACAAUAGAGAGGAGGUCGGAGAUGAACCGUGCAGAGAACGAGAGAGAGAGAAAGAGAGAGAGAGAGAGAGAGAGAGAAAUAAGAAUAUUUUAGUUUAUUAUAAAUCAAGGCCAAAUCAGCAAAUUCUAAAGAGGGUUUAUUUUUACAAAAUCGCAAAAUCUAUGAAUUUUUUAUACGAAACUGUUAUAUUUGGUUUAGAUUUGUAGUUAUCUAAAUUGGAGUUAAAUCCUAAUCUAAUUGGGAUUAUAUAUAAUUUAGAUUUAAUUUGGCAUAUAUGGAUUAUAAUUAGAAGUGUAAUUCUAAUUGAAUUAGAAUUAGACUCUAGUUAGGAGACAUGUUGUAGAAAGCAGACUUUUGUUACUUGUGUAGAUAUGAGAAAGAGGGUGGAAUUGAGGUGAAUUCGUUUUGAUGCUAAAUUGACGUGAAAACGGAUUAUUGGGGCCAAGGUGUUUCUACGAGGGACUAUUUUGCAAAUAGCCAAAGUGUGUGGGCUAGAGUGCAAAAUUAGGAGUGUUGAUCUUAUUCCCUCUCUCUCCCUCUCUCUGAUGAUCUUAUCCUCUCUCUCUCUCUCCCUCUCUCUGAUGUUGCUAACGAAAGGAAAAAGAAAAAGAGAAAGAAAGAAGUAGGAGUGGAAGAAGAAGAAGAAGAAUUGGAGGUGAGUUUUUUUGCUUCUCCUCUUUCCCUUUCCUUUCUUUCUUCCCUUCCUUUUUUCCUUUCUUUCUCUUCUCCUUUUCUUCUUCCUUUCCUUCCUCCCUCUUCUUCCCCUGCUGCUGCUACUGCAGCUUUGCUGCCCUGUGCUGCUGCGGGUACUGUAGCAGCAGCAGCAGGCUACUGCUGGCAGCAGCAGCAGCUGCUGCUGCAGGCUGCCCAGAAGCAGCAGCAAAUAGCUGCUGCUGCAGGGGCAGCAAGAAAAAGAAAAAAAAAAAAUGAAAGAAGAGGAAGAAGAAAAGGGAAGGAAAGAAAGAGAGAAAACGAGAGAGAAAAAUGGAGACGGAAUGAAAUGGUUACGAUUGAGCGUGCAACGGGCGUAAUUCUCAUAUUUAACUUCAAUUGAACCUUGCAGAGUGUCUAGGCGUAUGAGAGAGUCGUGACUCACGUCUGGCUAAUUGCAAUUGAAGGUAUUAGCGUUCAAUUUGCGUGAAUUGAGCUCGAUUGGAAAUCUCAAUUCUUUGAUUGUAAUUCGGAAUGUUUUGUCGUGUUUAGUGUUUUCGGGCAAUCGUGAGGUGAGGAAGGGUCGCGUGUAGCGCUUCUCUUGCCCGGGACAACGUAGCGAAUUGAGGUGGGUUCCGAGUUACCGAAAAUGGCGAAUUUCCUCUUAUGUCUAUUUUGGCACAAGUUAGAUACUCUCUAUCGAUCCUCAUAUGAAACUUGAAUUGCACAUAUAUCUAUUUUCUAUCGGUCCUCAUUUUGUGAAAAUUGAAACAUGAACAUGAAAUUUAGUAUUGAAACAUGAUUAGGAGCAUGAGUAUGAAUAUAAGCCUAGCUAUUGUGACUCGUUUAUAACAUUUGAAAGAUAUUACCUGAUUGUUAUUCCUCUCGUGCGUUGAUCAUACUAUAUGUAUCACAGGAUCUUUUUGGAUAUUUGAUAUUGAGUUGAGACAUGCGUCGACUAGCUCCUAUGGAUAGUAUGAGUAGUUUCUCGUGAUUAUGGAUUACAGCCUGCAGAUGCCAUCUUGAGUUGACAGGAUAUGUGAUAUGAUACUCGGUAGGGGUCGCUCCCCUCGAGUGCCGCUCCGGAUGCUGGCCAGUGAUAGUUGAGACAGUAGCCUAGGGGUGGCCGUCACACCUGCGGGAGUGUGUCCGCGCACUAGGCAGGCGCAGGCUUGACCGGACCUAUAAGUCGGUCAUGGCGAUUGGGUUUCAUGAUUGUAUUUCUUUAUUCUUAUAUAUUGAAAUGGCCAUAUAAAAGUAAUUUGACAUGUAAAUUUAGAAGUGUAUAACUGCAUAUGAUAUUCUAUCCUAUGUCUUCACUAGUAAUCUGUACAUUGCUUUCAUGUUUCCUUUAUGUAGCGAAUACCUAGAAUACUAUUUGACAGUAGUUGAGUUCUUGUUAGUUUUAUGCUUUUAGUUUAAUGUAUAUCGCUCUUUCAUUUACCUUUGCUCAUUUAGACCUAGUGGGAAGGUCAUUGUCGUCGCCGACCGUACCCACUGGGAACUGCUAUUAGUAGUUCUCACGCCCCCUUGUGGUCUCCUUUUUCAGUGACAGGUACAUCAUCAGUUGAGCGAGGUAAGGGGAUUGCGCCUAGUUAGCCAUCCUACCAGUAUACUUAUCUAUAGCGGACUUUCAGAUAGUGAGCCACUGUACUUUCUUUUGGACUGGCGUGGGCCAGGGCCAUUUACUUGUACUUGAUUUUGGGCGUGGAGUUGUGUAUCUUGUUACUAGUUUCAUGUUGUUCGGUGGUCAGCAUAUGUAUAGUGCUCUGCUACUCGUCUUUUGGCUUUUAAUGACUUUUCUUAAUACUUGUAAUGUGAACAAUGGUUUCUUUUAACUCUUGAAAACUGUUAGAUUAUCAUUGUCGCUUCGUUCGGAUAGGGGAAACUCUGUCCGUUCGGCGGGUCUGUUAGCGUGCCGCAGUCUUCCAUUGCGAACUCGGGGCGUGACACAUGUAUUAUAUAUACAUGCUACGGCCAAGUUAAUGACACCGCGACAAAUUAAGAGGCCACGCACUAAUUAAGACUAUUGGAGGGUACGAUUGUUGCCGGAGAGAACCGAGCUUCGUGUUAAUUUGGUGUUUCGGUGGCUGCAACAUCAUGAGCCAAGAGAGAGUUGGAGCUGUAAUUAAUUAAGUGAGCAUCUGAGGAGCCGUAUGACUAAUUAAGAUCAAGCUGUGGUACGUACGGGUGGUGAGAGAGAAGCCAAUUUUGGAGUCUCUUAUACGGCGCGCCUUUCAUUGUUUCGGAUCUAAUUAAGCUUUUGUUUAUUUGAGAGAUCUUCUUUGUACUCCGCCUUUCGACAUUAAUAAAGUAUUUGCUCCGUCUUCGCCCGUGGACGUAGGCCGUUAGCCGAACCACGUAAAUAUCGGUGUGCCCUUUCCUCUUUUCUUUUUCGUUUCCUGCAUUAAAUUAUUUUCUGGAUCUAUUUUUCGCCGUUCCGAUUUUAACAAACUGGUAUCAGAGCCUUUCUAUUCCCUUUAAGGAUUAAGAUGACGACGAAGUUCGAGAUUCAGAAAUUUGACAGGACCAACAGUUUCGCAUUAUGGCAAGUCAAGAUGCGUACUAUAUAUAUUGACGCAGCAAGGAUUGCAGAAGGCACUGUUGGGAAAAGAAAAGAUAUCUGAUUCUUUGACGGCGGAGCAGAAGGAGGAGAUUGAUGACAAGCUCUAAGGGCAAUACAAUUAUAUUUAUCCGAUGAGGUAUUGCGUGAGGUCUUGGAUGAAAAGACCGCUGCAGGGCUUUGGCUUAAAUUGGAGUCUCUCUACAUGCAUGACGAAGUCUCUCACCAACAAGUUAUAUUUGAAGCAACGUCUCUUCAUGUUGCGCAUGGCGGAAGGUACCUCUAUUAAGUCGCAUUUAGAUGAAUUUAAUUCUAUAUUAUGGAUCUCCGCUCGAUAGAUGUCAAAAUCUAGGAGGAAGAUGAAGCCCCUUUAUUCUUAUGUUCUCUACUGCCCUCUUAUAAGAAUUUUCGUGAGCCUUUCUUGUUUGGACGAGAUAUUCUAUGUCUUGAUGAUGUUAAAUUCUCUUUACUUUCAAAAGAGAGAAUUGACUUGCAGAUAAGCAACGAGACAGGUGGAGCUUCAGGACAAGGUUUGGUCGCUAGAGGGAGAUCUCGGGAGAAGGUUUCCGGUAAUAAGGUACAUCGAGAUCAAAGUCAAAACACAGAAAUCUGAUUUGUGGUUAUUGUAAGAAGAAAGGUCACAUAAAAGCUGAUUGUUUCAAGUUGAAAAAUAAAGAACAGCGCAAGAAUAACGGUGAUAAAAAUCAAGGUCAGAAAAACACCAAUACUGAAGCAGAAGCAAGUGUUGCAGCAGGAGAAUCAGAUAAAAAUGAUAUCGUCUUCACAGUUACGGAUAAGAUACGCAGACAGGAUGAGUGGCUUAUGGACUCCGCAUGUUCCUUCCAUAUCUGCACGCAUAGAGAAUGGUUCUCGACGUACAUGCCUAUUCAAGGUGGAGAUGUAUUGAUGGAAAAUCACUCUAAGUGUACAGUUAUUGGAAUUGACAUUGUUCGGGUACGAAUUUUCGAUGGAGUAGUGAGGACUAUAUCCGAGGUUCGGCAUGUUCCAGAUAUGAGAAAAAAUCUGAUCUCAUUGGGUAUACUUGAUACUAAAGGCUUUAAGUAUUCUUCCGCUGAUGGAUUAAUGAAGGUCGCUAAAGAGAAUCUUGUAGUGAUGAUUGCCAAGUUGUCCGACAUGUUAUAUGUUCUGCAAGGUUCCACUGUGACAGGUUCAACAGCGGUGAUUUCUUCCUCUAUGUCAGAUUCUGAUAGCACCAGAUUAUGGCAUAUGCGACUGGGCCAUAUAAGUGAAUAUGGUAUGAUGAAAUUGGGUGAGAGAGGUCUACUUGGUAGUCAGAGUUUAGAAAAGUUGGAUUUCUGCGAGCAUUGUGUUCUUGUCAAACAAAAGAGAGUCAGUUUUAAGGCCGCAGUUCACCGAACAAAAGGUACUCUGGACUAUAUUCAUUCUGAUCUUUGGGGACCUUCUCGUACUCCUCAUGGUGGUGCUAGAUAUAUGUUGACUUUUAUUGACGAUUAUUCUCGUAAAGUGUGGGCAAUCUUUCUGAAAAGUAAGGAUGAGGUGUUCAAUUAUUUCAAGCAUUGGAAGGUCAUGAUUGAGAAGCAAACUAAAAAGAAAAUCAAGAAAUUAAGGACUGACAAUGGUUUGGAAUUCUAUUCAUCGGAGUUUGAAGAAUUCUGCAAGAAGGAAGGGAUCGUUCGACAUAAGACCGUUAGGCAUACUCCACAGCAGAAUGGAGUGGUCGAACGGAUGAAUAGAACUCUUUUGGAGAGGGCCCGUUGUAUGCUCUCUAAUGCUGGCUUAGCGAAGAGUUUCUGGGCAGAGGCGAUCUCUACGGCAUGCUAUUAAAUUAUAAAUAUUAUUGAUUAAUCUUUAGCAAAAAGUAUUUUCUUUGUUAGGAAGAGAACACAAUUAUUUGUGAAGUUCUUUGUCAUAUAUAUAACUUUGGGGAAAAAUUUUUGGAAUCUCUUUUAGUCAUAUAAUUAUGAAUCGAUCAUAGUUGUUCCAAACAGAGCAUGUCAUAUAAUUGUGAUAUUCAAAUUUAAAUUAAAAUUAACCCUCAAUCAUGUCACAGGAUAAAAUUAUAAUUAGUUCUUUCAUCACUCCACAAAAUUAGGAACAAAAAUAUAGGCAAAACCUUAAUUAACAUUAUUACGCUGGAAGCCUAUCCGAUACUCCUUUUCUUAAUAGAAAAACUUUGCAGAAUUAAUAUGGAAGAAAUUAUGAUUCUGUUUGGUAAUGAAGAACAUAUCAGAUUGAAUAGAAUAAGAGAGAGAAGCAACACAACAGAUAGGGGGUGUAGCCAUGUAAUAAUUCUAUUUAUUGGAACUGUCAAAUAGUCGAACGCCUCCGAAAUGCUAAAUCUUAUUUAAUUGAGAGCCCUUACAUCUUAUAUAUAAUGCAUGGCUCCAAUGUAGAGUUUACUUAGAACUCAUAGUCCAAUUGGAUUCUUAAUUAAACUCUAUUUAUUUUUUAGUAAAUCAAAAUCUCAUGUUAUAUAUCCUAAUUAAAUUAGAAUUUGGCUUUAAUUUAAAUAACCAUAAAUUUAAACCGAAAUCUAACAAUAGAUUUUCUCACUAAUCUAUUAGACAGCCAUAUUUGUGAAACUACCUGUGGUAUCCCUGGACUACAGCGUUGAGGCUUGUCGACAGCUCUGGAGAGUGUCGGGGCAAGUCCGAGUCGCGUUGGCACGAAAUAGACGCAAAGCGGACUCAGUGGGAAUGCCAGAGCAAGAGUUAGCACUGCCAUCUGUAAAUAGCAGAUUUUUUUCUGCUUGCUGUACCGGUACAACCAUCAAGGCGUACCGGUACAUCUUGCUGUACCGGUACAACCAUCAGGGUGUACUGGUACACUGCGCUUGUUCCCGCGCAGACUGCUCUCGGGUUGCCAUUUGUACGGGUACAAAUGCGCGUGUACCGGUACACUAGGGUAGGUGAGAGGGCAUUUUGGUCUUUCCAUGCCUCGUACGUGUCACCCUUCUCCCCCAUCCCUAUUUACAGGUGUAGAGGAGCUGAGAGAGAGAUAUUUGCUGUUCUUCUUCUCCUCUCUCUCUCUCUAGCUUGGACAGUACGUGGAGUAGCUCGGGUGGAGUUGGAUCGUCGUCAACGUCGCGCCGCGGAGCCGUUCGAGCACGUGUGCACCGUAGUUGUUGCGUUGGGAGGCCGGGCGAGCGGGGUUGGUCGCUAUUUCGAUGUCGCGCCGGAUUGGGAGUAGCGUUUGAGGUGGGUUAAUCGUCGGUUUAUCUUCUAAGUGUACUUGUAUAGUCGGCAUGUGUUCGUUGUAGCGUGUUGCAUAUCGCAUUGCUUGAUUCACAGUUUUGGUAUGUUUAUCUUCGAAACCUGAAUUGGAGCUAGUAUUGGAUUAUAUUUAUACUUGCACAUGUUGGACUUGGACUUGACUUAGGAGAAAACCCGCGAAUAUAAUCCGUCAUAUGUUUACACUACCAGAUUUAGUUUUAGGAGCCGUUGUUAUUUUGUAUCGCCGCAGUAUCAGCGUGGUGGAUACCCCAGGUAGUGUAGAUUACUAUUACACUCGUGCUGGGAUGCCGAGCCUUUUUUUUUAUAGUAGAGUUUAGAUUGCUGGGUGCCGUCGGGGUUGACGGUGGACCCGGAUUGUCGUUCUGGCAUCAGAUUGUGCUGAGGGGACGUGACUUGUUUGUUGGUAGACCAGUUGGACUCUGUGUACUUGACUAUAGCCUGCGAGAGCCUGAUUGAGCUCGGCAGAGAUACGUUUGCAUACUCGGUUGGAUAGCGCCCACGAGUGCCACUCCGGAGUUGGGCUUAGCUCUUCUGCGUUGAUGUCGAGGUGUCCUGUUUGGACUUGCUAUCAACGGACUACUUAGUGUGGAGGUAGCUUUAGCUUCGACAGGCGGGACGAGUGUGUUCACAGUCCCUGGGACGGGUAUGAUUACAAUCCCGAGUGAGAUUGGGUCAGGUUUGACAUCUUUUACAGACUGUUAGUAUAGAGCAUGAUAGUAUACUGGUUUUUAGCUGUAGAGUAGUUCCGGCAUUAUUUACUAUCCUAGCUACCUUCUGUAGACUUAGUGGGUAGACCGAUGAUGUUGAGGGCGGCACCCACUGAGGACUACUUGUUUUUAUAGUAGUUCUCACUCCCCGUUGUUUCUUUUCGUUUUGUAGAGCCUUUGGUUCCGGCUGCUGCGUCUUCUGAGACAGAGCGUGGUAAGGGCGUUGCGAGCUAGAGCCCUACCAGUCGAGCCGUCGUGUUAGCAGAGCACCAGCUAGAGGUAGUUGUAGUUUUUGAGUUCAUAUACAUACUGUUGUUCUAUAUCUCGCCCGACGAGUCCUUUUGUAUUUCAGGAUAUUGUAUGUAUAGUGAACUAUUAUUUUCUUCUACCUGGUUACUCUUCUUAGCAACUCUUUACUACUGGUUGUAGUAUUGUAUAUUUUACAGGUACAGUUAUCGCUUCAUAUAUAGAAGAAAUUUUUUUGUAUACGGCGGAUUUGUCGGCGUGCUCGGGGAACGUGAAACUCGGGGCGUGACCUUAUCUAUUUGCUCUAUUCUUAUCUUGUUAUCGUCAAGUCCUAUUUGUUUAGGAUUAACUCAAUGUAGUUAAGAACUGACAUUCGCUUUUAUCCUUCCAGACAUUAUACGAAACCUUUUUUCUUCAAAUUUUUGUUUAAUCUUUUUAAUAAGAGUAAAAUAUAGAAACUCUAUAUAAAUACUUGUUUUUUCACUUCCUCCACCGACUUUAAACAAAUCUAUAUUCUACCUCUUCAAAAUUUCAAGUUGAUGUAUUUAAACCCCCUUCAUUAAGAUUCUGUCACUAAUCCGUUCAUUCCUUAUAAUUUAUACUAAAGAAACCCUUAAAAUGGUAGAAAUACAUAAAAAAAGUAUUUUUUUUUCUUAAAGAACAAGUAAAAAAAAUUGAAUCAUUUAUUCCUCUCCAUUCACACCAAAUAUUUAUGAGAUUUUAAGGAAACAGAAUGCAGGUUUUUUGAAAGUUAGGAUGAAAAAGUAAAAAAAAAAAAUUAUAAAGGGAGGAUUUCUUUAUUUUAGCCAACAUAUAAAGUUUUAAUAAGGUUACAAAUCAUCCUACAAAUACAUAAUACUGUGGAGUAGUGGUUCUUCUGCAGGCACCAACUCAUAUUUUGAUAUUUCCACUUUUAUGUGCAUUAUUAAAAGUAAAAUAAAAUAUGCAGGCGAGAUAACAUCUGCCUCUAGAUCAUCGUUUCCUCAAGCAUGGGUUGUUUAGAAGAUCCGAGGCGGAAAAUAUAGAAGCAUCAAGCUCGGUGCUUUGCAAUAAUUAAUUCACCUACAUGAUGUACUUGGAAUCAUUGAAUCCUUUCUCUGAAAUAUCAGCCGUCUUGUUCGAUACCAAUAAAAAAAGUCGAGACGUGGUGAACCUUGGUGCGGCCAUCAUUGAUGUGGCCGCCUUCUCCUCCUCGAAACUUCUCAACAAGUACCUUUACUGCAUGCCAAAUGUAUAAACCUCGAAGCGUAGUGAGGUACUCGAUACCGUGGGGCAACUCCUUUAGCUUUGGGCAAUGGCAUAACUGAAGCGUAUUCAGGCUUGCGAUUGCUCCUCUUUCUAUUUCCACCUGACUGAGGUUCCGGGCACCAAAUAUUGUCAAUUGCUUUAGCUUCGGGAAUGAUGUUGCUUGGAAGUGCAACUUCAUGCCAUCAUAUGCGCCAUGAAGGUAAAGAAGCAUUAAUGCGGGCAGUGCUUGCAGGUAAGGAAACGUAUCUUCAUCCAAUUUUGCAUAUUUAAGUGUUAAUCUGGUUAGGUUUGUAAGAGACCCAAAGAACGUGGCAAGCUCAGGGAGUGAGGUUUUGUCUAAUUUACCCUCCAGUUGUAAUCCUUCAAUUGGUAGAGGUAGGCGCAGGGUGCCCAACUGCUGUAAUUCUCCCCCAUCUUCACAUUCGACACAUAAAUCGAUAAGAUGGUUCAUCUUUGUGAUACUAUUCCACAAGUCUGCACAGUGAAGGGUUCUUACGCCGAUUAUCAAAAAUUCCCGCAACUCUGUCAAAGCUUCUAUAUUCUGCACAAUCUUCUUAGUUGCUUCAAUAUAUCCUAAAGUCUGCAAGCCCUUCAAGCGCCAUAUUCCCACCAGUACCUUGAUGUUUUUACCCAAUUUGCGGGGCAAAACUAGAUGUCUCAACUUUUGAAGCUCUGUUAUUUCCUUUGGCAGGUUUUGUAUUUCACUUUCACGUGUAUCUAAUAUUUGCAGAUUUCGUAGCUUCCCAAUUGAUCUUGGAAGCUCCUUAAUUUUUGUAGCUCUCAAACCAAGAUAAUGCAGGUUGAAGAGGUUAUAGAUCUCACUUGGUAGUUUCUCGAUUGGCGCUUUUUCUAGUUCCAAGACACGUAAAAAUUUUGAUGAUCUUAAAACCGACUUCAGCAAAUCAUUGCUCAUGGAAUUGUUGAAAACAAGUACUGAACGCAAAUGAGAUUUGUCUUCAGUACAAUAUUCAGUUAUAUCGCUUAGGAUUGACAAGCGGCGUGCUUCGCAAAUCUGCAAUUUUUUUCGUGAAUGCUCGUAAACCAUGCAGAAACUUAACUCCUUUGACUCCGAAAGAGCGAGGACUCGAAUGAUGUCAUGCAUUCGACAUUCACAAACUCUACCAUUUUCAUCCCUAUAUACCACUUGUAGUAGACAGCGAUGAACAAGUUCGUUAAGGUACUCCUCGGCCACUUCCUCCAUCGUUAUUCCUCUUUCUUCAAUGAACCCUUCGGCCACCCAAAGCCGUAUGAGGCUGUUUCUUCUAAUUUGAUAAUCUUCUGGAAAACUAGAACAAUGUAAGAAGCAAUUUCGAAGGUAAUGGGGAAGAUCAUCCAAACUAAGUUUCAAAAUGUCAUGUACUUUUCCAUGGAGCUUCGAUUCGUUGUUAGUUAGAUACCACUCAAGAUCUUUGUAAACCUUCUCCCAUUCAAAAUUAGUUUGUUCUCGAAAUGUUAAGAGACGGCCUAUAGAUACGAUAGCAAGGGGCAAGCCACCGCACUUCUCGACAAUUUUUUUGGCACAUUGUUCUAAAGGCGGUGGGCAAAUCUUGUUUGCACUUUUCCAAAAUGCAUUUUUACAAAACAAAUCCCAUGAAUGAUCUGCCUCUAGUGUCUUUAGCUCAAACAUACGGUGCUUAUUAGCUAGUAGUGCUACAUCGCGAAUCCUUGUUGUGAGAACUAUUCUACUCUUGCUAUUACUAUUUAGAAGUGCAUCUUUUAUAUUAUUCAUUACAUCAAUACUCCAAACAUCAUCCAGAAUGAGUACAUACUUUCUACACUGCAAGUAAGUGCGGAUAGUCUCAACCAAGCUUCUAAAAUCCAUGGUAUCAAUGUUGUUAGGUACUUCUCUUUUCUCAGGAUCUUCCCGAUAGAACUCUUUUAAGAUCUGUCUAAGCAAAUCAUGAGUCUCGUAACUCUGAGAUACAGCAACCCAGGCACAAGCAUCAAAGGUAGCUUUGAUUAUAUUGUACAAAUGAGUCGCAAGAGUUGUCUUCCCUAGACCGCCCAUCCCCAACACUGAGAUUAUCAUGGGCUGUCGUUGCUGUUCAUCCUCAUCUUUCAACCAUUUGAGCAACAAGUCCCUAUACUUGUCAAUACCCACAAUAUCAUCCUCCUCGACAAAAUGCGUUGAUUCUGCACGGGUCUUGCUACCGCCAACAGCUAUUAGAUGUUUUACUUCAUUUUCCAUUCCUUUCAUAUCAUAUCGCAUCCUUCUCUCCAUGAUGUUUCGGAGGUUAAUUUUGAUCUCUUUAAGCCUCUUGCUAAGGUGAUGCCAGGUUAUGAAGAUAUUUCUGCACCUCUUGAUUGCUCUGGGUAGAACCCCUCCUUGCUCCUCACCCAACUUGUACGUGAACUCAUCUAUAAUAUCCUCAAUGUCGAAAGCCAAGUCUCUUGUUUGUUUUAUGAAGGUUUUUGUGUUCUCAUCUUUCUGUUUUAAUCUUUCCACAAUUCGUAGAAAGGAUUGCAUGCUCUCAAGCUCGUCCUUAAUCUCAUUUAUACCCUUCAUGAGUUCUUUCUUUGCUGAUAUCCAUCUUAGUAAUAGUGAUGGUGCUGAUUUAGUUGCCUCACUAGCUAAGGUAGCACCGAUCUUCACGAGCAAUGAGCUUAUUGCAGCCUCUGCCAUAGGAGUUUCCUAUAAAGUGAGCCUGGAAUCAAUAAUCUUUCCAAACUACCAUGUCUCUUUAGAUGCGCCACUAGCAAAAAUAAUUAUUUUUUAACGCUCUUAUGAUUCUAGGCAAUUUUCGUAAAAAAUAUGUAAUUGUUUCAUCCAGGAUAACUCUGUAGUGUACUAAACAAUAUUUGUUUGAAUCCUCAGUUAAAAAGAAGAAACACUGGUAACAGUAUUGUAGUCUGGAAGAACAAAAAGCAAUAACUUGUUCAAGAUUCAGUUUAACAAAAUUUUGAGAUAAAAGAUUCGUCAUAACUAGUUAUACUGAACUCAACCUCAAUGUAACAUUGUAGAGCAAGUUGUGAAAAAGUCCUUUAGAGGAGUGUGAAAUCAAUAAAGAGUUGGAAUGUAAAUGAAUCUGCUGCUAGUCUCCGAGUUGACGAUAUUGUGUUAAGAGUGAUUAUAAAUUAUUCUACAAUUAACAAUUAUAAAUCGAGUUUGUUUUAAAGCCCUCUUCUUGUUCAUGAUUAAGUUAAUAUAUAUCAGGACUAUAAGUCAUUUGAGCAAGAAACUAUUAGUGCUUCUUCAAAUAGUUUCGUUUUGAUAGCAAUAUAAGAACUUAAAUUUUGGACUCAUUAAACUCCCGUGUUUCUAAUAUGUUAAAUUUUAUUGCCUCGACAUUCAUAGUUUUAUACUGCUUAUUAUCGGACCAGAAUCUAAAAGUUCUAUUUUAACUUCUUUAAUUUGUGCUGCAUUUUGUAAAAGUUUUACAUUACAAGUUUUGACAUUAAUUGAUUUGUUUUUCCGAAAUAAUUAUUAUCUUUGUGAGUUCAGCAAGAAUAUUUCUUAAAGUGAAAUGACUUUGAUACUUCCUCUUUUCUUUUUUUUUUUCCUGAUAAUGAGGCCUUUAAAAAGAUGCCUCGUACCAUUAAGAACGUAGUUUUUUUUUUCUUGUUAUCAUUUAUCAAGUGAUCGAAUGGUCUCAAAAUUGAUAAUUUAACAAAUAAAAGCGAGGCACUUAAUUGUUGAGCUUUUGAUAAUAAAUAAAAUUCUCUCAACUAUUUAGAUCAGAUCUACAACCAAGAUUUUGAAUUUAAGAAAUUUUUAUUUUUUAUUUUUAGACACCAUUCGCAUUGUGCCCACUUGAUUAGUCAGAAAAUAAAUUUUAAAAAUCAUAGAACUCUUUGUCUAGAAGGUUUAUGUAUCCUUAAUCAUCUUUCAUGGUAUUGAUCAUCGAUUUAGAUGCUCAAUCAUCAACAAUAAAGUGAAAAUACUAUAUGAGGCCAAUUUACUCUACCUUAAUUAUUAUCUCUUGUUAUUUUGUUUCCAAAGAUCAAGUAGUGAAUCCAAACAACAUAAAUAUUAAUCAACAAAGACAUAUACUAUCCUCCUUGCACCCUUUUGCAGAAUCAACUAGUUGAGAUAGCAAAGAAAAUAAAAAUUAAGUAAAAAGAGAAGGGGAAGAAGAAGAAAAACUAACCAACCACAGAUCCAAAAUGGAUUAGAUUGAAGAGGGAGCUGCUCCAAGAUAAUUAAUCUCAAGUUUUAACUAGAGAAAAUACUGCAACCAAAGAAGCUCUGGUAGAAGUAGAUGUUUUAUAGGGAUUGAGGAGUGAGAGGAUGAGGAUGAACUAUAUUAUAUUAUAUUAUGAACAAAUAUAAUUGGGAGCAAAUGGUCUGGACAGUGCAGCUACCAAGAAUUUCCUUUUAACUUUUCCCAUCAGCACUUGAGUGCACUGGGGCGCGGCACGGGGUCAUGAAUUCGUUAAAAAAUUAAAUGUCGGACUAUGAAUAUAGAAAAAAUAAUAAAUUUAUUAUCAUCAAUCCGUUGUAGAAAUCUAAAAAAAAUGAACAGGAUAAAAAAAUAAUGCAAAUUAAUUUGUAGUCGUGAAAUACGACAUCCAUUGUGAGGCUUUCCAGCUAGCCGGCUUGGAUUUGGUAAAAUAGUAGGUUCAACUAACUAAUAAUAUAUAUUAUCCAAUGCAAUAAUACAUAGUUUGUAAUACAAAUGCAAACAAUAAAUCAUAUUUUAUAUUAUGGCUGAUUUGUUUAUUUUAUUUUUUAUCGGUGUUAAUUUUGCUUGUCUCUUUUCUGACCUCGGAACUGUAGUAUCGCUGGUGUGCUGCAGUCGUAUGAUUUCAGUAUUUGAGGUUUGUGACAUGUCUGGAGAGUGUCGGAACAAGUCGGAGUCGUUUUGGCGCGAAAUAGUCGCAAAACGAACUCAACGCGACGCGAGAAUAAAAUUUUGAAAUUGAAAGCUGCAAAGUGCAAGAUUUCAGUGUUGAGUAUCGGUAGCAGGGAGAGAAGUACCGGUACUCCAGUGAAAUUUCAGAAUUAGUGCUCUCGGGUUGCGCCAAUCGGAUGUUGAGUACCAGUAUUAUAUUAUAAACAAAUAAUUGGGAGUAGAUAAAAGGCCGACUGGUGUAGCCACCGGGAAACUUCCCUCCUGGCUUUUUAAAUCCGCCAAUUGGGAGCAGAUGAAAGAGACAAUUGGUAGCAUUUUUCUCUUUGUCGCGCUACAAAUUAAAUAAUUUUUUUUAACUAUGGUAUAAUUUUGCCUUUUUUUUUUUUUUCAAUAAAGGAGUUCCCAUGAAGAAAAAUAGCAACAUACAACUACAUUCCUACUAGAGAUUAAUUAAAAGAUAAUAUAUUACUAGUCUAAAAUCUGCACCUAAUUACAUAUCUGUAAUUCAAUUCAUUAAAGAUAAAUAUUUGGGAUGGGAAAAACUUCAAAUACCACUCUUGUGGUUUCACACUUUCUCAUCUUAGUAUCCGGUAGUUUAAAGUAUAUCAAUUUAGUAUCCUAUGAUUUUUUUUUUUUUUUUUAUUAUCGAUUUCACUAAUUUUUUUGAUUAAAUUAGUGACAAAGUUAAAACUACAGGGUACUAAUUAAAGUGAAUAUUCGAUAAGCCUAGGUAAGUUAUUUGAAGUUUUUUGUAUAUAAUUUAACGAAAUAUUAACGAAUGAGCUGACGAAAAGAGAAAAAUGAAAUCACAUAGCACAAACUUAAUACACUUUAAAUCACGGAAUACUAAAGUGUGAAAGUAUAAAACUACAUGGGUGGUAUUUGAAGUUUACUCUUUGUGAUACUUUACUUUUGGGUACGUUAUUAUAUUAUUGAUGUGCUGGCAAGCUGGGUCUAAAGUUUAGGAUAUAACAACGGUGCUUAAAAUCUAAUAAUGAUGCUUGGGCCGGAUUAAAUAAUUAAUGAUUAGAGUGUAAUAAUGAUAUUGCAAUUUCAUUAGCAGUAAUUUUUAAGGUACACUUGGGAAUACAUGUAGUAGCUAGUAGUCUUUACAAAAUAUAACACUUUACUAUUUUAUAUAUGAUAUACAUAGCAUGCCUUUAAUGCCAAAGUGCUAAUACAUAAUUAAUAGAUAAUAAUAGCAUAUAAUAAUAUACAAUAGGCUAAUUUUUUCAAUGAAGUCUUUGAAUAAAAAAGAUAGCACGAUAUAACAGACGAAAAUAACAUUAUUAAAAUACAAUAUAGUGCAGCACUUUUGGUGAUUGGGAGCUACACAUGGUGGCAUGGAGUCACGGAAUCCUUUCCCACGCCCAUUCGCCACCUCUCUUGAAUGAAAGGAAAACUUUUGGUGUGUGCCGAAUUUUCAUCGGGUCCUUGCAGCUCUCAUCGAUCUCCACCUUCUCCUCCGCCUCGAAGCCCGGCAGCAGGCUCCUCUGCCGGUUCUCCAAAAUGUAACACCUGAAGGGACGUGAGGUACUCGAUGCCUUGAGGCAACACCUUCAGCUCUGGGCAACCUGAGAGACUAAGUGUUUGUAGGCUCGGCAUCGCUUCUUUCUCUAUUUCAAUCUGAUUGAGCUGUGGAGCAUCCACUAUUUCAAGUUCCUUUAGUGUUUGGAAUGAUGCUGUUUUGAAGCACAAUUUUAUGCCAUCAUAUGCUUCCCAAAUUUGGAGGACCAACAAUCUAGGUAACGCCUGAAUGUAAGGGAGCGGAUCCUCAACCAAUCGAGACCAACGAAGAUGAAAGGCGGUCAGGUUUGUAAGGGACCCGAAGGACAUGGAACAUUGAGGUAAGGAAUAUUUUUUGUCUAACUGCCCCAACAACAUCACUUUUCGCAGAGAUCGUGGUAGACGAAGAGCUCCCAAAUGCAGUAUUUCUUGCUCGUCUUUCGCCACAAUCUGUAAAAGGACAAGAUGGUUCAUGUUUGCAAUAGCCCGGCACAGGUCUGUACAGUGGCACAUUUGUACUUUGGUGAUACCGAAUGUCCGCAAGUUGAUCAGGGCUCCCACCUUCUGUACCAUCUUUGUGUUGGCUUCAAAAAACUGCAGAGUUUGUAUGUCCUUCAAAUGCCAUAUCCCUUUUGGUGUUGGAACGCCACCAAAUGCUGCCAGACUGCGGUACAUCUUAUCUGAAUUGAUAAAUACAAAUAGAUGCCUCAACUUUCUGAGCUUUGUUACUCCAUUUGGUAAACUUUUGAUUUUAGUGUCACAGGCGUCUAAUAUCUGUAAAUUUUGCAGCUUCCCAAUUGAUUUUGGUAGCUUCUCGAUUUUUGUUUCUCUUAGGCCGGCCUAGGAAACGCAGGUUGAAUAGGUUGCCAAUUUCACUUGGUACUUUAUCGAUCGCAGAACCUUGUAGAUCCAAAACGUAUAAAUAUACAACCAUACAUAUAACUAAACAUAUCCUUGUAUGCAUUUUAUGAAUCUGUUACUGCUGGUACUUCGCUGUAUAACUAAACAUAUCCUUGUGUACUAUCUCAUGAUAUGUUAUAUACUGCCAAAAUGCUAAUAGACGAAUUUUAAUAUUAGUAUUACCCAAUGAAAUCCGAGUACUUUUACAAUUGUACUUAGACUAGAAACCAUCUGCUUAGUUUGGUAAUAGAAGGUCUUCCAUUUGACACGUACUAUUAUAAAAGAGCUGCUUUUGUUAAAAUGGAUUUGGCAUGGCCUAACCUACAGUAGUAGGAGCCAACAUUGAACCACAUCUAUCUUCUACAGGAAAAGGCAUUAACUUUUUACUCUUUUCUUUGUGAUGGUAGGUCCAACACUAGUCCUUGACCUGCCCGAUGCGGCUCAUAGUGUGCCGUUUCUGCGAAGACAUGGUCCAAGCCGGGACCGAACCGCUUGAUGCCUGCGACCGCCUCAGAGGUCUCUGAAGGAGAUGGACAUCCAUGUGAUCAUGUGCAUCAGAAGAGCUGAUUUGCUGAAGCAUUUCAUGCUUGUCAAAAUCAUCAUAUGAAUCGAAUGCUCGGUGAUGGAUGCCCUUGAAAGACUUAUAAACUUUUGAGCUAACUCACCAAAGAUUUCUCUCUUGGGUACUUUGAAAAAUGGUACGUAGUGUGUUUUAUCUCUCUCUUGGUUCAGCGUGUUGUUCCUCAUUUUAUUUAUGUUUCGAUGCAUUACAUGGUGAAAAGAAUAAUAGAAAAAAAAUUGUGUUGGAACAGACUCGAAUGGAAUUUGAUAUUUCGACUUGUUAUAUAUUCUAAAAUUGUACUGUACUAUAUGAAUUGGUCUCAGGUUAUUGAUAUAGAAUUUCAGAAUUUUGUGUUCUUGAUUUUAACAUAAAAUAGUAUAGUGUGAUUUUUUUAAUUGAUAUCAGUUGGAAUGGAAUGAAAAUGUUUGCUCAUACUUUUGGUUUUGAGCAAUACUGUUGGCGUUAUUCGCAACCCCUCCUCUCGGGUUGAGCAUCCGGAAGUGAAUUCGGAUGCCUGCGAGACAAUCCGAAAUAUUUUGGAUGCUCGCAGGAAGAACCGAGCUGUCCGAAGAUUUAACAACUUGAGAACCCCUCCUCUCGAGUAGAGAGUCUAUUAGGGACGGACGCUUGACCGAAUGGUCCGAAUGUUUUCGGGCGUCUCACAUGUCUUUUCGGACUUAUGGAAAGUCUGGAAAAAUUGAUUUUCACUUCUUCCAAAGUUCUGAUUUGAUCCAAAUUGGCUCCAACUCAUUGCUAACUUAGUCUAAACUUUUUCAGAUCCAUUCUUAUCAUGUCUAGCAUGACUUAAAUUCUCAUUUUGCCAAUUUUGUUAAAGCUCGGUGCAUUUUACUGAAUUUUAGUAUAGCGCUAAUUUAUAUAAAAAAGACGGGAAAAACGUUAAAAGAGCACUUCUAUGGCCCUUUGUCGAGCAUUUUUUAGUUUCUAUGGCAUUUUUUACUAGGGAUCCUAAUAAUAAUAAUAAUUAGGCUUUAGCAUAUUUGGUCGGUUGUUUGGGCUCAACGAUUUAUUAGUGCUAGUGGCUUGGAUCGCUACAUUUGAUAUCAAAGCCGGUUUGAUACUCAUAAUAUAUACUUUUUCUCACCUUUGCUGCUAUCAAAUAUCAGAGUCACCACACCUGAAGAUCUCGUCUACUCGCAACGGAAUACUCCUCAACGGUGCAAACCUCCAAAUCUCCCAACCAAUCUCUCUCUCAGCCAGCUAGAGCCACAGCUCAAUUAGAGGAAGGAGGAAAAAGAAGAAAAGGAGGAGCUCUGCAGGGACGUAAAAGAAUAAAAUCACAGGAUCCGUGGAAUAUAUAUAUAUAUAUAUAGAGGUGACAAUAGCAGAAAGGCCUUUGAAACUCGGAAAAAUAAACCCUCAGUAGAAGACUUCACUUUUGGCGCCCGGAACCAUCUUUUGGGCGUCCGAAGUCCCGUAUCCGAGGUAAUUUGAGCGCUUCCUCCUGCAAUGGGCUGCCCGAACCCUAUGUAGCUGCUUGCGCCCAUUUUCGGGCUCCCGAAUCUGCAUACGGAACUCAGUAAAUUAAGGCACCUGCUUACCGCCUUGGUCACAUCACUCUAGCAUCCUCCGGUCUGCUACAGUAACAUUCGGGCAUCCAGAAUAGGCAUGAACAGUGACUCCCUUAAUCCGGAUCCAACUACGAUGGAUCCGGGUGUUCGGAACUGCACUCUGGAUCCCCCAACUCCUCACCUCGGUACUUCCGGGCGCUCUAAUCCACUUCCGGACGUUAGGAAAUGGUUAGAAACCCAGUUUCAGCUGAUUUAAUUUCUAGCCUAUUUUUCGCGUCCAUUUCGCACAAAAAUAGCUCUAACUCAGUCCAGCACUAUCCGAAAGUGCUGUCCACAAACUCGAUCACACUGUAAUCUUGCCAAUUUGCAAAGAUCCAGUACUCUACACUUUUCCUUUAAAAGAUACACACUUAUAUCACUUUGCUGAGAGAUACAUCUUUUAUACAUGAAAAGAUACAACUUACUUAAACGUUACAUUUUCAACUAAAAGACCUGAGCCUUCACUAAAAGAGCACACCUACUUAAAUGCACCCGUACACUAGACACCCUCUCAAAAGAGCAAGUUUUGAUUUCAAACAGGCAUACUUUUCCAACAAAUACACUCAUGGAAUCCUUUCCCAUACCCAUUUGCCAUCUUUCUUGAAUGAAUGAAUAACUUUUGGUAUGUGUCGAAUCUUCAUCUGGUCUUCUCGGCUUUCAUCUCCACCUUCUCCUCCCCAAAGCCUUGCAACAAGCUCCUCUGGUGGUUCUCCAAAAUGUAACACCUGAAGGGUGGUGAGGUACUCGAUGCCUUGAGGCAGCACCUUCAGUUUUGGGCAACCUGAGAGACUAAGUUCUUGUAGUCUUGGCAUCGCUUCUUUUUCUAUUUCUAUCUGAUUGAGCUGCGGGGCAUCCCCUAUUGACAGUUCCUUUAGAGUUGGAAAUGAUGUUGUUUUGAAGCACAACUUCAUGCCGUCAUACGCUUGCCAAAGUUGAAGGAUCAACAAUCUAGGUAAUGCUUGAAUGUAUGGAAGCGGAUCCCCAACCAAUCGAGACCAACGAAGUCGAAAGACAGUCAGGUUUGUAAGGGACCCAAAGAACAUGGAACAUUGAGGUAAGGAAUAUAUUUUGUCUAACUGCCCCAACAACAUCACUCUUCGGAGAGAUUGUGGCAGACGAAGAGCUCCCAAAUGUAGUACUUCUUUCUCGUCUUUUGCCACAAUCUCCAAAUGGACAAGAUGAUUCAUGUUUGCGAUAGCCCGGCACAGGUCUGCACAGUCGGACGUUCGUACUUUGGUGAUACCAAAUGUCUGCAAGUUGAUCAAGGUUCCUACCUUCUUUACCAUCUCUGAGUUUGCUUCAAAAAACUGCAGAGUUUGCAAGUCCUUCAAGUGCCAUAUCCCUUUUGGUGUUGGUACACCUCCAAAAGCUGCCAAACUGCUGUACAUCUUAUCUGGGUUGAUUAAUACAAAUAAAUGCCUCAACUUUCCAAGCUUCGUUACCUCAUUUGGUAAACUUUUUAUUCUAGUGCCACAGGCAUCUAAUAUCUGUAAAUUUUGCAGCUUCCCAAUUGAUUUUGGUAGCUUCUCGAUUUUUGUUUCUCUUAGGCCUAGGAAACGCAGGUUGAAUAGGUUGCCAAUUUCACUUGGUACUUCAUCGAUCGAAGAACCUUCUAGAUCCAAGACACAUAAGAAUUUUGAAGAUUUUGUGACUGACUUUAGGAAAUCACAACUCAUGGAACUGUUAAAAAGAAGUAAUGAGCGUAAAUAGGAUUUAUCUUCAUUCCAAUGUUCAAUUGUACCACAUGUAACUGAUGUGCGGCGUGCUUUGCACCUCUGUGAAGUCCUUGAAUGCUUGUAAUCCAUGUAGAAAAUUUCCUCCUUUGACUUGGAAAGAGCUAGGACUCGAACUAUAUCAUGCAUUUGACAUUCACGAACCCUUCUGAAUUCAUUCCUGGUCACCACUUGCAGUAGACAGCGAUGAACGAGUUCGUUGAGGUAGCCUUCAGCUACUUCCUCCAACGUUCUUUCUUUUUCUUCAAUGAAACCUUCUGCUACCCAAAGCCUUAUAAGUCUCUUCCGUUUAAUCUUGUAAUCCUCCGGAAAAAUGCAACAAUAUAAAAAGCAGUUUCUUAGAUAAUGGGGAAUAUCGUCCAAGCUAAGUUUCAGAAUGCUGUUCACUCUUUCACUGAAAGGAGAGUUGCUAGUUAGCUGCCACUCAAGAUCUUUGUAGACCUUCUCCCAUUCGGUAUCAAGUUGUUCCUUAAAGGACAAAAGACUACCUAUAGAAACAAUAGCAAUUGGCAAGCCACAACACUUCUCUACAAUUUUUUCGGCCCAAUGUUUUAAUAGCGGGGGGCAAACCCUAUUGGUACUUUUCCAGAAUGCAUUUUUGCAGAAGAGGCUCCAUGAAUGAUCUGGUUCUAGUGGCUUGAGUUCAAGCCUGUAGUGCUCGUGAGCUAAUAGUGCUACUUCAUAAAUUCGUGUUGUUAGCACUAUCUUACUAUUGCUAUUACCAUCCAAAAAUGCAUAUUUUAUAUCAAACCAUGCAUUUAUACUCCAUACAUCAUCCAAAAUGAUUACAUACCUUUUGUUUCGUGAAAAGCUGCAGAUCGUUUGAACCAAGCUUCUAUAGUCCAUAACAUCAAUGUCUCCAGGUAUUGCUAUUUUAUUAUGAUCUUCCCUGCAGAAUUCCUUUAUGAUUUGUUUUAGCAAAUCAUUAGUAUCAUAACAUUGAGAUACAGAAACCCACGCACAAGCGUCAAAGGUAGUCUUGAUGUUGUUGUACACAUGAGUUACAAGAGUAGUCUUCCCCAAACCACCCAUCCCCCACACAGAGAUAAUUAUCAUGUUUUGCUGCUCCUCAUCCUUCAGCCAUCUAAGUAGUAAGUCCCUGUUUUCGUCGAUUCCCACAAGAUCAUCCUCUUUAACAAAAUGCGCAUAUUCUGCAGGACUAUUACUUCUACCUCCAACUUUUGAAGGGCUUGGCUUGAUAUCAAUUGCUUCCGUAUUAUAUCGGGCCCUUCUCUCUUUAAUGUUUUGGAGGCUAUUUUUGAUUUCUCUAAGCCGCCUAGUAAGGUGAUUCCAGCUAUUUGUGUUUCUGUAUCUCUUAAUGGUUUUAGAUAGAAUCCCUCCUUGCUCCUCGCCAAUCUUGUAUGUAAACUCAUCUAUAAUGUCCUCAAUGUCGAAAGCAACACUUCUUGUUUGUUUGAUAUAGUUGGCGGUGCUCUCAUCGGCGUCUUUCAAUUUCUCAGCAGUUCGUAGGAAGGAUUGCAUACUUUCUAGCUCAUCCUUGAUCUCGCUUAUGUCCUUCAUGAGUUCUCUCAUGGCCGAUGGUUGCCUUGCUAGCGUUGAAGCCGCUGAUUUUAUUGCUUCACUGGCUAAGAUGCCACUUAUCCUCAGGAUUAAUAAGCUUAUCGCACCCUCAGCCAUACCAGCCUUUUCAGAAGAUGAGCCUGAAUUUGGAUGUUGUAGCUUGCUUAUCUUUCCAAAUUGCUGUUUUUAAAUUUCUGGCUUAGUUGGUUUCUCAUUUAAUUUUCUCAUGGGGCCAAUGCCAGGAAAAGAAAUGAAAAGCAAUUAUCAACCAGUGGCCUGUUUGAAUGACUGUAGAGUAAUUAUCAACCAGUUAAAAGAAGAACUAACAGCUCUUUGAUGAAAUCAUACAUACAUACACAUACAUAUAUACAUACAUACAUAUAUACACAUACAUAUAUACAUACAUACAUACAUACAUACAUGCAUACACAUACAUAUAUACAUAUGUACACAUACAUAUAUACAUACAUACAUACAUACAUAUAUACACAUACAUACAUACAUACAUAUAUACAUACAUACACACAUACAUACAUACACACAUACAUACACAUACAUAUAUACAUACAUACAUACACAUACAUAUAUACAUACAUACAUAUAUACACAUACAUAUAUACAUACAUACAUACAUACAUACAUGCAUACACAUACAUAUGUAGAUAUGUACACAUACAUAUAUACAUACAUACAUACAUAUAUACACAUACAUACAUACAUACAUAUAUACAUACAUACACACAUACAUACAUACACACAUACAUACACAUACAUAUAUACAUACAUACAUACAUACAUACAUAUUUACAUACAUACAUACACACACAUACAUAUAUACAUACAUACACACACACACAUACAUAUAUACAUACAUACACACAUACAUACAUACAUACAAACAUACACAUACAUACAUACAUACAUACACAUACAUAUAUACAUACAUACAUAGAGAGAGAGAGAGAGAGAGCUAGGCUGGAAUACUAUUGAUAGCAAAAGGCUCUUUUUGCUAUCAGUUUUUAACUCUUAGAUGAGAAAUUGUAGGGUUAGGAUGAUAUUAGUCUCUUAGGGUUGAGUGGUUCCCACUGAGUUAUAAUAUUUAAUCCAAUGGUUAGAAAUGAUGAAAAGAAUUGAUCUAAAGGUUGAAAACUUGAUAGUAAAAAAAUUUUUUGCUAUCAAUAGUAUUCUAGCUAAACUCUCUCUCUCUCUCUCUCUCUCUCUCUCUCUCUCUCUCUCUAUAUAUAUAUAUAUAUGGUGAAGUUUAGAAUACUAUUGUUAGUAUGAAAAUAGUAUGAGAAUAAUGUUUACUAUUAACUUUUUGACCAUUAGUUGCGUAGGAUUUAGUAGGGGUUUGAGUAAUAAUCAAAUGGUAGAAAAAUUGAUAGUAAUACUAUUCAUAUACUAUCAAUAGUAUACUAGGUGAACUUUGUAUAUAUAUAGAGUUCACCUAGCAUAUUAUUAAUAAUAUAUGAAAAUAGUAUCUACUGUCAACUCUUCCACCUUUAGAUUAUUACUGUUUUGGCGCCAAAUUUGAUGUUUCAUGAUAGAGCCAAACAUAUUGAAGUGGAGCACCACUUCAUUCAGCAGAAAAAGCUUCAUGAAGAAAUUGAGUUAAUGAAAGUGCGUUCUCAAGACAACUUACGGAUAUUUUUACUAAACCUAUUCUAAAGGUGAAGUUUAUAGAACUUGAAGAAGGGCUCUAUUUGGUUUCUCAUAAGUUUGCACGAAGGAAAAGUGUUAAAAAUUAGUGAUAAACUUAUUUUUUAUUUUUAUUUUUAUUAGAAUUAGUAAGUGUAUUUUUUGGAGCCCAUUUGUUCUAAUGUUUAAAUGGACAUUGUUUUUUUGUUCUUUUGAGUCCAAUUGAGUCAUGUGAGUUAUUUUGAGUUAAACGAAUCAAAUUGAACCACAUGGAUUUAGUUAGGGGUCAAAAGAAUAAAAAAGUUCGGUAGAGGAUUAAGCAGUGAGUGAAAAAAAAAAAUGGUUUCUUCUCUUUUUUUCUUUAUUCUUUUGUGUGGUGUUUCCCUCCAGAGUAAAGGAAUUGUGAAAGAGGUCCAAAGCUUGUAGGAUUUUGCUAGGUUUGAGGUGGGCGACCUCUAAUUAAUCUUUUCUCCUCUCUUGUGAUUUCAUUAUAAGGUACUUUUAGUUGUAAGUUUUAUUUGGUAAUUUUCAGUUUUAUUUUGUAUGGUGUUUUGAUAUUCCUGGUGAAGUUAAUUAAAUUCGUAUGUGAAAUUGUUUGAGAUUGUUAUUGUGAACUUUCUGUUUUUUCAUAUUUUUUUGCCUUCUAUUGUGAUUGUGCCAUCUUGGAUACGUAAAAAAUUUGAAUUUUUGAUUUCUACACAUUGAAGAAAAGGGUGUGUUCGGAUUGGAGCCGUUUGUGCUGUUAUUCAACAUUUUAAAAUUUAAAUAUAUUAUUUAUCUUUAUCUGCUCAAUUAUUUUUUUAUGUAAUUAAUGUAACUAUAAAUUCACUAAGGUAAUCAAUCAACUUAAAUUUUAUACCAAAGAUCCUCAAAUAAUUUAAAUUAAAUAAAUUGAAAGAUUAAAUAUUACGGUCAGAAUUUUGAAAGGUUGGAUAAUGGAAUCAAAAUAGGCUAUAUAUAGUUUAGACAAAUUUUAUCCAUAUUUAAUAAAGAAAAGAAAAGAAAAUAGAGAUAUAUGAUGUAAACGCACAUAUAUAAAAGGAACUUUCGUAGCCUUUCUGUGAGAAAUCGCUUCAUACCUGAUGAUCCCUCUUCUAGCUAGCUAGUGCAUGCACCUCUCGCAAUUAAAACUGCUUUCCUCGUUUAGCGCCUUUCCAGGAUAAAUAAUGCUUCACAAAAAAGAAGAAGAAGAAGAAGAAGUAGAAGAAGAAGAGGAAAAAUCUUCUCUUUUUUAUUUUAGAAAUGCAUGCUUUUGUCACGCUGUGCAAUGUAUUAGAUGGUGAGUAGCCUUCUCGACGUGAUUUCCAAAUCUAUUUUAUUUGAAGAUUCGUCUUGACUUAUGUAUAUUGCUUUAUGUAUAUAUAGAGUUUGGUUGGGGCGCUUCUAAUAGAAUCAAGUACUUUGUGCUAUUAAGUUUUUUACUGUUAGAUUUAUUCUUUUAACCAGUUCUAUACAUUAAAUUAUACUAUUCAACCAACGAUCCACUCACCUUAGAGAACUACUAUCAUUCUAACCGCACAUCUCUUUAUCCAAAAGCCGAAAAUCUAAUAGUAUUAAUGAUUUGGUGCUAUUAGAAAUAUUCCAGCCUAAUUUUAUAUAUAUAUAUAUAUAGUGUAGAACUAUUAUACUUUCGGAAGCAUAAAGGAGUUGAUGCUUCCGACUUUUUACCCCUUGGAUCAAGGAUUGGAGGGUCAGGAUGAUAAUGGUCCUCCUUAGAAUUGAGUGAUUUUUCUAGAAUUGAGUGGUCCCCUCUAGAGUAAUAAUAUAAAUCCGAAGGUUAGAAAUGAUUAAAGGAAUUGAUAGAAAAAUUCCCACACUAGUUAGUAUUGUUGGUUUUUGAUCUAAUGGCCAAAAGGCUAGAUUAAAGGAUGAGUAUGCCAGCUCAAUACAUAGGUGUAUAAAUAUAGAAUAUAUAGUAAUUUAGUGCUACUCGCUAGUCUUUGUUGACUCGGAUGAUAAAUAAAUAAUCUUAAUUUGAUUUGAACAUACUUCAUAGACGAAUUACAUCGUUUGGUUUUUAUUUAGAUUAUUGAACUUUAAUUUAGGGUAAACUACACUUUGGUUCUCAAACUAUAUAUGAAAUGCGUGAUAUUUUGGUUCUUAAAUUUUAAUUUGUUAUAAUUUUUAGUUCAAACUUUUUGAUUUAUUGUAAUUAAGUUCUAUAACUUAGUCUAGUUGGCUGCAUAUUGAUAAAUUAUUAUUGUAAAAGUGGUGCCGCAGUGUUGUAGUUACUCUUUAUUCAUAGUUCCUCAUAGUUCGAGCACCAAAAGUGUAAUUUAAUAACUCUUUAUUCAUUUAAUUAAGUUACCAAACUUCAUUUUUGUUUUAAUGAGGUUCUCUUGUUAGAUUUUCUAAAGUUUUUGAAACAAACAAGUGAUAAUUAAUUCAAUUGUCAAAUCAUCUCUUAGAGAUGAUCAAAAUGCCGAUUCAAUUAUUAUUAAAUAAAAUAAUUCAAUUCAAUUAAUUGUUGAAUACUAUUUUGAGACAAUACAAUAGUUGUAAAUCAUCACUACUUGCUAGUUGAAUUUACUGCCCCUUCUUUACUUCAUCUAAAAAGUUAAAUAAAAAGUUAAAAAAGUUUCAUGACCUACGGGCAUUAGUUUUGCAGAAAAUAUUUUAGAAACUAAUUAAUUUUCUGUCUAGAAAAGUACUUUUUUCGUCUAUUUGAUUCUUAGAAAAAGUAGUUUUUCUAAAUUUUCUUCUUUAGAGUUCAUAGAAGAGUAAUAUUUUUAUUUUCCGAAUUUUUAAUCAGAAAAACAAAUUAAAACUGUGAAAAAAAAUUUUCAUCAAAAUAUUUUUUUUGAAAAUAAUUUUCACACUUUUCUGAGAACCCAAACACCCUUCAAAUGAAAUUUCAGGAAAUGAUAGGUGGCCAAAAAUGUAUUAAAAGUGUACACAAUUGAUUUGUACAUGUAUACGAUAUACUUAAAUGCAUACGUAUGCGUGCAUUAUUUAAUUUAAUUCGUCUCUCCCUCCUUCCUGUCUCCCAUACUUACUAUACUUUGAAUAGGUAUAAAUAGAUUCAAAUUCUAAUAUUUUUUCAAUUUAUUUAAUUUCCGUGUAAACACGGUGGAAUUGACCUAUUAUAAUAAUAAAGAUACAUCAUAUGUUAUGCAGAUAUACACUUGUGGAUGCUUGUGUUAUUCAGUUAAUUACUCUCUCCAUCUCCCUAUCUCCCAAACUUAUUAUACUUUCAAUAGGUAUAAGUAGAACCAAAUUCUAAUAUAUUUUUUUUGUCUUAUUUCAUUUGCGUGUGAAAAUGGUACGUACAAUUACUUGUUAUAUAUAAUAAUAAAGAUACAUUGUAUAUAUGUCAUACAUAUAUACACUUAUGUAAGCGUGCAUGUAUUAUUUAAUCAGAGCUGUUACCGAUGCCCAAGAUAACCUACAAUUAAUGUUCUUGAUAUAUCGGCAACAUCAUUAUUAAACAUGAAACACUAUAUUUUAAAUCUUAAACAUUAUUAUUAAACUGCAAAAGCCGUAAUUAUAAUCUAAAUCUUAAACUCUAUAAAUCCACAUAUGUGCUAACACAUCAACAACAAUAUUUUAAAAUAUAUCUAAGUGGGAGAUCCAAAUCAUUUCUCUUAUUUAACUAUUCUCUCCCUUUUCCUCUCCCAUUCUUCUUAUCUCCAAACCAAUUUUAAAAUUUGACUUAGUUGACUUUGAAUAAUUAAGUAUAAGUUGAACCAAAUUCUAAUGUUUUUCGUCCUAUUUCAUUUUUGUCCUAGCAUGGUGGAAUCGAGUUGCUAUAAUAAUAAAGCUAUAAUGAUAAGAAGAUGCUAAUGCCACGUCUUCAUAAGUGAUAUAAUAAGUUAUAAGAGAUUUUGUGUAAUGACAAGUCGUAUAAGUAAUACAAGUCAACAAGAAAGCUUAUAAUUUAAUUUGUUUUUUGGUUAAAAUGUAAGGAAACCCCACAACCAUAUUGAUCAUAAAUCCUAAUAAUAAUAAUUAGGUUUAAACAUUUUGAGCUGAUGACUUGGAUCUACGAGUUAUUACUACUAGUAGAUUGAGGUGUUAUAUUGAGUUUUAGAGAUAUUUUACUAGCCAAAAAUAUGUGAUGAGUCUCACAUCGAAUGAUGAUCUUGAUUUGCAUUUGCGUUUGUGAUUGGGCUUAUGAGGACAUUAGGACAGUCAAGUAUGUAUUUGUGAUUGGACCGACGAGAACGUUAGGGACAUUGCCUUUAGUAUUACCCAAUAAAAUCCGAGUACUUAUACAAUUCUACUUAGACUGGAAACCAUCUGCUUAGUUUGGUAAUAGUAGGUCUUUCCAUUUGAUACAUACUAUUGAAAAAGAGCUGCUUUUGUAAAAAUGGAUUUGGUAUUGCCUAAACUACAGUAGUAGGAGCCAUAAUUGAACCACAUAUAUCUUCUACAUUAAAAGGCAUUAUAAAUAUUGAUUAGUCUUCAGAUAAAAGUCUAUUCUUUAUAAGGGAAAAAAAAAAAAACUUUGAGGAAAAUUUUUUGGAAUCUCUUUUAGUCAUAUAAUUAUGCAUCAAUUAACCAUAGUUAUAUAUUCCAAACAGAGUAUAUGAUAUAAUUGUGAUAAUUCAAAUUUAAGUUAAGAUUAACUGUGAAUCAUGUAGUAGAAUAAAGUUACAACUAAUUAUUAAAUUAGUCACUCCACAUAAUAAAGAACAAACCUAUCCUCCUCUUCUGAUAGAAAAUUUUUUCAGAAUUAACCGAAGAUAUCUUUUAUAGAAAUUUUUUUUCAAAAUUAACGGUAGAAAUCGGAAUUCGAUGCAUACUCCAACUGCUCUCUUCUUUUUUCUUUUUUCUUUUCUUUCGGAUAAAUAUAAAUAAAGUAGGAUUGACCCGAUAAUUUUAUCUAUAUCUACAUUAAUCCAUAUUCAAAUCUGAUUCAAUUAGUAGUAAAUGAAUCAUAUAUUAUAUAUUGUAAUAUUGUAGACACCAGACGAAGCAGUGGUUUAUUAAAAACAAUCAAUAUGUUUCUUAAAUCAAUCUGUUUAUGAGAAAAGGUCAAGAGAGAGGCUUUGAUUUUCGUUUCAACAAUUAUGAUAAUACGAGUUGCACAUGCGAAUUCCAAUUAAUUGGCCAACAAAUUGGUCAUCGUCAUUUCAAUAUAAUCAAACCCUAUGAUUUGCUAAAUACUAUUUAUUUGAGAGCUUAAUUAAUUCCCUCCUUUCGCCGUACAUCUUAUAUGUAAUGAAUAUGUCAAAUGUAGAGACUAAUUAGAACCAGGGGCGGAGCCAUUGAGGGGCCCACAGUGGCCAUGGCCCUCCCUAGCUUUAAAAUUAUAUAAAAGUCCUUUGUAAUAAAAAUUAAAAUAUUAUAAUUUUUAAUUUUAGGGGGCCAAAUUAAAUUUUUUAAUAAAAUUUGUGUCUCAAUAAUUUUUUUCAAAUUUUUUGGUCCUUUUCCUUCAACUCUUACCGUCUUGUUCCUCUUUGAGCAUAUUGCCAUUUGUUGCUACUAAUAACUGAUUAGUAAAUCUGACAAAUUUUUUUUUCUUAUUAUCCGAGGUUGAAUUAUUUUUCUAUCAAAUCUAAAUCUUGGCCCCCCCCGAAUUUUAAUUCUGGCUUCGUCCCUGAUUAGAGCUCACAGUCCAAUUAGAUUCUUAAUUAAACUCUAUUUAUGUUUUAAUAAAACUAAAUCUCAUCUUAUAUCCUAAUUAAAGUAGAAUUUGACUUUAAUUUUAAAUAAAUUUGACUUUAAUUUAAAUAACUAUAAAUUUAAACCGAAAUCUAACAAUAGAUUUUCUCACUAAUCCGUUAAACAACAAUUAAUAUUUGUGAAACUACCUCUUCUAUUUACGAUCUAUUCGUAUCUAUUUAUUUAGGAUUAACUCAACCUAGUUAAGAACUGAAAUUUGCUUUUAUCCUUUCAGACAUUAUACGAAAGCUUUUUCUUCAAAACUUUUUUAAUCUUUUUAAUAAGGGUAAAAUAUACAAAACUUUAUGUAAAUAUUUGUUUUUUCACUUCCUCCACUCGCUUUCAAAAAUCUAUAUAUUUUAUCUUCUCAAAAUUUCAAGUUGAUGGAUUUAAACGCCCUUUGUCAGAGUUCAAUCACUACUAUUCCGCCUAUUUUUUAUAAUUUAUAAUGAAGAUACCCAUAAGUGCAUGUUUGGUUUGCCCCAUUUUCAUCCUGAAAGCGGAAUCGAAAUGGACGAAUCCGUUUGUGCAUAUUUGAUAUGAAAAAUUUACAUUCCGAUUCCGACUCCCGGUGAAUGGGAAUCCUCUCAAUUACCACUUUUUCCGCUUCGUCCUAGGAGACUGAAUUGGAAAUUGAAUCCGGGCGGAGUGAACUUGUUCGGAUUAAAUUUAACUUUUUUAAUUUUAUUUUUUAAUUAAAACGUAAGUUUAAGUUUAAAAUUAUAUUUUUUAAAUUUUAAUUUUAAUUUAAACUUAAAUUAAAAAUUAAAAUUCAAUCAAGUAUUUCGAAUCUAAUUUAUAAAUUUGAAUUCAAAUUUAAUUUUAAUUUAAAUCUAAAGUUUUCUUCAAAUUUUAUUUAAAAUUAAAAUUAAAUUUAUGGAUUCAAAUUGAAAUUUAAAUGAUAACUUUAAGUUUGAAUUUGAAUAAAUCAAAAUUUAGUUUAAUAUUUUGAAUUAUCCGUUCAAUUUCAAAUUUUAAUUUAAAAAAUAUAUAUAUUUAAAAUUUUAACAUCAUUUUAAAAUUUUGACGUAAAUUUUUAAUAUUUAAUUUUUAAUUUGAAUUUAAAUUAAUACAUUAUAAAAAUAAAAUUGGCAUAUUAAUUUGAUUAUAUUUCUGAUAUCUUUUUGAACUAAACACCGAUAAUAAAAAUGGUUCAUUACCAUUCUGUUACAGGUGGCGAACCAAACGGAAUGAGAUAAUGAAUCAUUCCAAUUCCGUUUCUAGCUUAUUCUCAUUCCGAUUUCUAUACCGAUUCCGACUGCAAACCAAACAAACCGUAAAAUUGUUAGAAAUGCAUAAAAAAAUUUAUUUUUUUUCUUAACAAAUAAAGAAAAUUUAGUCAUCUUAGAAAGUAAAAAACAUGGAUAUUUAUAAGGGAAGGUUUUUUUAUUUUAGCCAAUAAAUAAAGUUUUAAGGGUACAAAGCAUUCUCCAAAUGCAUAAAUAAAUAAAGUUUUUAAGGGUACAAGGCAUUCUCCAAAUACAUAAUAAGAGCAGCUGAAGGCGUGCACAACUAAUUUGAUGCGUCCACUUUUACACACACAUACAUUGAAAAUAAAAUAAAUAAAAUAAAAUAAAACACAUAUAAGAUAACUAUCUGCAUAUAUCGACCAUCAUUUUCAAUUUUCCUCAAGCACGGAUUAUUUAGAAGAUCAAUCUGGGGCGGAAAAUAUGAAAGCAUCAAGCUCGGCCGGUGCUCUGCAAAAAACGCCCAAACUCACCUGCAUGAUGUGGAAUCAUUGAAUCCUUUCUUCGACAUACUUGCGGUCUCGUAUGAAACCAAUAGUAAAAUUCGGGAUGUGGCGAACCCUCGUGCGCCAGUCAUUGCUGUGGUCGCCUUCUCCUCCUCCUCCUCCUCCUCCUCGAAGCAACUCAAUAAGUUCCUCUGCUGGACGGUUAAUGCAUAAAUGCUGAAGGGUGGUAAGGUACUCGAUACCGUGGGGCAGCUCCUUUAGCUCGGGGCAACACUUUAGGUCUAGCAUAUUCAGGCUUGCCAUUGCUCCUCUUUCUAUUUCCACCUGACUGAGCUUCGGGGUAAAUGCUAUUACCAAUGUCUUUAGCUUCGGGAAUGAUGUUGCUUGGAAGUGCAACUUCAUGCCGUCAUAUGCCUCAUAAAGUUCAAGAAACAUCAAUGACGGCAGUUCUUGCAAGUAAGGAAAAGUGUCUUCAUCCAAUUUUGCAUAUGAAAGUCUUAAUAUGGUUAGGUUUGUUAGAGACCCAAAGGACGUGGCAAGCUCAGGGAGUGAGUUUUUGUCUAAUUUACCCUCCAGAUCUAAUUCUUGAAUUGGUAGAGGAAGGCGCAGGGUGCCCAACUGCUGUAAUUCUUGCCCAUCUUCACUCCAAAUAAGUAAAUCGCUAAGAUGGUUCAUUUUUGUGAUACUAUUCCACAAGUCUGCACAGUGAUGGGUUCUUACGCUCUUUAUCCCAAAUGUCCGCAACUCUGUCAAAGCUUCUACAUUCCGCACAAUCUUCCUAGUUGCACUAAUAGUUGCCAAACUCUGCAAGCCCUUCAAGCGCCAUAUUCCCACCGGUCCCUUGAUGUUCUUACCCAAAUUGUCGGACAAAAAUAGAUGUCUCAACUUUUGAAGUUCUGUUAUUCCUUUUGGCAGCUUUUCUAUUUCACUUCCAAAUGUAUCUAAUAUUUGCAGAUUUCGUAGCUUCCCGAUUGAUCUUGGAAGCUCCUUAAUUUUUGGAUCUCGCAAGCAUAGAUAAUGCAGGUUGAAUAGGUUACAGAUCUCACUCGGUAGUUUCUCGAUUAGCGUUCCUUGUAGUUCCAAGACACGUAAAAAUUUUGAUGAUCUUAAGACCGACUUUAGUAAAUCAUAGCUCAUGGAAUUGUUGAAAACAAGUACUGAACGCAAAUGAGAUUUGUCUUCAGUACGAUAAUUAGGUAUAUUGCUUAGGAUUGACAAGCGGCGUGCUUUGUAUCCCUGCAAUAUUGUCCUUGAAUGCUCGUAAACUAUGCAAAAGCUUAACUCCUUUGACUCCGAAAGAGCGAGGACUCGAAUGAUGUCAUGCAUUCGAUAUGCACAAACUCUACCAAUUUCGUUCCACUCAGCCUCUUGUAGUAGGCAGCGAUGAACAAGUUCGCUAAGGUAGUCCUCGGCCACUUCCUCCAUCGUUAUUCCUCUUUCUUCAAUGAACCCUUCGGCCACCCAAAGCCUUAUAAGCUUGUUAUGUCUAAUUUGAUAAUCUUCCGGAAAGUUGGAACAAUAUAAGAAGCAAUUUCGAAGGUAAUGGGGAAGAUCGUCCAAACUAAGUUUCAAAAUGUCAUGUACUUUUCCAUGGAGCUUCGAUUCGUUGUUAGUUAGAUACCACUCAAGAUCUUUGUAAACCUUCUCCCAUUCAGAACUGGUUUGUUCUCGAAAUGAUAAGAGACAGGCUAUAGACACGAUAGCAAGGGGCAAGCCACCGCACUUCUCGACAAUUUUUUUAGCACAUUGUUCUAAAGGUGGUGGGCAAAUCUUGUUUGCACUUUUCCAAAAUGCGUUUUUACAAAACAAAUCCCAUGAAUCAUCUAUCUCCAGUGGCUUUAGCUCAAACAUAUGGUUCUCGUUUGCUAAUAGAGCUACAUCGUGAAUCCUUGUUGUGAGAACUAUUCUACUCUUGCUAUUACUAUUCAGAAGUGCAUUCUUUAUAUUGUCCAGUACAUCAAUACUCCAAACAUCAUCUAGAAUAAGUACAUAAUUUUUACAGUGCAAGUAAGUGUGGAUAGUCUCAACCAAGCUUCUACAAUCCAUGGUAUCAAUGUUGUCAGGUACUUCUCUUUUCUCAACUAAGCUUCUUUUAUCCAUGGUAUCAAUGUUGUUAGGUGCUUGUCUUUUCUCACGAUCUUCCCUAUAAAACUCUUUUAAAAUCCGUCUAAGCAAAUCAUCAGUCUCAUAACUUUGAGAUACAGCAACCCAGGCACAAGCAUCAAAGGUAGCUUUGAUGAUUUUGUACACAUGAGUUACAAGAGUUGUCAUCCCUAGACCACCCAUCCCCAACACUGAGAUUAUCAUGGGCUGUCGUUGCUGCUCAUCCUCAUCUUUCAACCAUUUGAGCAACAAGUCCCUGUACUUGUCAAUACCCACGAUAUCAUCCUCCUCGACAAAAUGUGCUAAUUCUGCACGGCUCUUGCUACCGCCAACAGCUAUUAGAGGUUUUGCUUCACUUUCCAUUCCUCUUGUAUCAUAUCGUGUCCUUCUCUCCAUAAUGUUUUGGAGAUUAAUUUUGAUCUCUUUAAGUUUGCUGCUAAGGUCAUCCCAUGUUUUUAUAUUUCUGCACCUCUUGAUUGCUCUGGGUAGAACCCCUCCUUGCUCCUCACCCAGCUUGUACGUGAACUCAUCUAUAAUAUCCUCAAUGUCGAAAGCCAAGUCUCUUGUUUGUUUUAUGAAGAUUUUUGUGCUCUCAUCCUUCUCUUUUAAUCUUUCUGCAAUCCGUAGGAAGGAUAGCAUGCUCUCAAGCUCAUCCUUAAUCUCACUUAUAUCCUUCAUGAGUUCUUUCAUUGUUGAUAUCCGUGUUCGUAACUGUGAUGUUGCUGCUUUAGUUGCUUCACUAGCUAAGGCAGCACCAAUAUUGUGGAGUAAUAAGCUUACCACAGCCUCCGCCAUAGGCACUUCCUCUGAAUUGAGCCUAAAAUAAACAAUCUUUUCAAAUUACCAUGUCCCUUCAAAUGCACCACUAGCAAAAAUGAUUAUCUUUUAACGCUCUUAUGAUUCAAGGCAAUUUUCGUAAAAAAUGUGUAAUUGUCUCAAACGAAAUAACUCUGUAGUGCACUAAACAAACAUUUGUUAGAAUCCUCAGUUAAAAAGAAGAAACACCAUUAACAGUAUUGUAGUCUGGAAGAAUAAAAAGCAAUAACUUGUUUGAGAUUCAGUUUAACAAAAUUUUGAGAUGGAAGAUUCAUCAUAACUAGUCAUAAUGAACUCGACCUGAAUGUAUAUUUGUAGAUCAAGUUGUGAAAAAGUCCUUUAGAGGAGAACGAAAUCAAUAAAGAGUAGGAAAGUAAAUCAAUCUGCUGCUAGCCAGUGAGUAGAUGGUAUCUUAUUAAGCGUGAUUGUAAAUUAUUUUACAAUUAACAAUUAUAAAUCGAGUUUCUUUUGAAGCCCUCUUNUAGAUCAAGUUGUGAAAAAGUCCUUUAGAGGAGAAGUAAAUUAUUUUACAAUUAACAAUUAUAAAUCGAGUUUCUUUUGAAGCCCUCUUCUUGUUCAUAAUUAAGUUAAUAUAUAUCAGGACGAUAAGUCAUUUGAGCAAGAAACUAUUAGUGCUUUUUCAUAUAGUUUUGUUUUGAUAGUAAUAUAAGAACUUAAAUUUAGACUCAUGAAACUCCCGUAUUUCUCUAAUAUGUUAAAUUUUAUUGCCUCGACAUUCAUAGUUUCAUACCGCCUAUUAUCAGACCAGACUCUAAAAGUUCUAUUUCAACUUUUGUGAUUUGUAUUGCAAUUUGUAAAAGUUCUACAUUACUAGUUUUGAUAUUAACUGAUUUUUUUUUUCGAAAUAAUUAUUAUCUUUGUGAGUUCAGCAGGAAUAUUUCUUAAAGUGAUCUUGAUACUUUUUUUUUUGUUUUCGAUGAUGAGGCAUUUAAAUAAACGUCCUGUCUCGCUAAAUAUGAUCUAGAAUAUUUGCAUGGUUUAGGAACUGAAAUUUCUUUAUUGUCGUUAUCAUUUACCUAGUGAUCGAAUGGUCUCAAAAUUGACAAUUUAACAAAUAAAACAAGACACUUUCUUCUCGUUUAACAGCAAAGAACCAUUAGAAUUAGUUGAGCAUUUGAUAAUAAAUAAAAUCUUGUCAACUAUCUAAAUCAAGAUCUACAGCCAAGAUUGUGAAUUUAAGAUUAUUUUUAAUUAUAUGUUUAGAAGGUAGCUAAUUUGACCUUUCGUAUUAUGCCCACUUGGCUAGCCAGAAAAUAAAUUUAAAAAAACCUCUUUUUCUAGAAAGUUUAUGUAUCAUUUACCAUCUUAAGAUGGUAUUGAUCGUCAAUUUAGGUACUCAAUCAUCAACAAUAAA
rnacentral:lncRNA from 1 species